rnacentral:lncRNA from 1 species
AGGGAAGUUCAAUGCGUAGGCGCAUUAUUUGCUUUGUUCGAAUUUCUUUUGGACUGUUGUGUGCUUUUAGGAUUUCAUUUGUGGGUGUGAUGCUUUUGUUGAUCUUAAUGUUGAUUUUUGGUGAAAAGGAUUCUUUUUCAUGUUCGUUCGCAAAAGCAAUUUGGGAAGCUUCGAUUGAACUUUGUGUUUCAUUAUUUUUCAUGUUCGCUCGUAGUUUCGGAUUUUUGAACUUCGGCUCUGCUUGAUCAUGCUUUUUAUGCCCAUUCUUGUCGGAUUUCUGGUUUCUUGAUUUUAGUUUGUUCUACCGUGUUAGUUUUUGUCAGUGUUUUAGAAAAGGAAAAUUGACGUUUUAGUUUUGUUGUAAAUUAACAAUGGACCUUUUGUUUUGCUUUUGUGCUCAUAUUCUGUAUUUGCAGCUGUUGCUAAAAAAAUUGAUUCAUGUAAUUGGCAGUGAUUUAUGUAUCUUUUUGGUGUUGUCUUGGUGAAAUGCUUGUAAUAAGCAUAGCAAUUACUUGUUUUCUCGUUUUCUAUGGUAUAUGUUCUAGAUCUUCUUUCACAUGUAGAUAUGGCUUUGAGAUAAGUUUCCGACUAAAUGAGGAAAGGUGCAAUUUUGAAUGGUAAACAUGCGGCCAAAUUGCCAAUCACAUGCCAAAUUAUGAACUAGAGCUAUAAGUUGGCAUUUGCAGAUGGUAGUGGGUGUGUCUUCAGGAGUUGGGAGAAUUUGAUUCACAAUUAUAUACCAUUUUAAAAGGCUAUGCUAUGUGCUCAGUAAUUAGACUAGAGAGGAUGAUGCUUCAGUGCUAGAACUUAGUGCAAGAGGAUACUGCUAUAUUAUUUGUGAUUUAAGUAAGUCUCAAUCAACUUGCACAAUGGUGAUCUUUGUACUAGUUUUCUAGUUCGAGUAAGAAUAAGUACUUUGUAAUAUCUGUUUUGCUUGCUUUCCUGGAAUUUAAGUUUUCUCCUGAUUCCCAUGCGUAUAUCUAUGGCUAAUAUACUGAUAUUGUUUGACAUGUAACUGGUUUUGGUUUCCUCUUUUUAUUUCCUCUAGAUUUGUUUCUGGUCCUUUAUUCCUGUAUAUGAAGUUAUGAGUCAUGCCCUUGCAGCAAAUUUCACUGCUUCUGGAGAGCAGUAAAUUGGAGAUAAAAUAUCUCUUGGAAUGGAAGGGAACCAUGGUAAGCACGGCUACAGACUGAUAGUUGGAGAGGAAUUUCUGCACUCAUUUAACUUUCUAACUUUAAUUCCUUUUGCAGGAGAAAGGAAUUACUGACCUUGAAUCAUGGAAAGAAACUUAGAAAUUAUCAUUGAGCAGGUUUCAACCAAAACCCAUUAUCAUUUUGCUUGAAACUAUUGCCAUUGCCUAUUUGAGUGCCAGGGGUGGUUAGAACAUUGAACUUGUGAUAUGAUCACCCCUAAAACAACUUUGAAUGCCAAGUAUAAUAUUCUUUCUACAUGUUUUAGGAGGGAUAGUUGGAAUGGUUUUGUGAUACAUAUUACAUGAUUAUGCAUGUAUAACAUGUAUGAAAAGUAUGUUUUGCUGUGCUUGUUUUCCGACUCGUACCCGUUUCAAACAAAAAAUCCAUUAUUGCUUGAGAUUUAAAGCUUUGAUACUAUAGACCAUAUUUCUUGACAUUUCUUUAGUUCAGAGUUUCUUCACUCUUGAGGAGUUAAAUAAAUGUAUCAUAUGGUUUUGUUACCUGAAAGUUUAGCUGCAUUUUCAGCUUAAGUUAGUUCCCAUUGGUAAGAUGACUACAUUAUCAAUGGUGUCUCUUUUUUUGGGAUUGCAGGUGACUGCUUGCAAGCUGUGGCGGCAAGUUGGAGAAUCUUUUAAUCCUCCAAAGUAAGGGCUGCUGUUCAUGAAUUGAUUGUAAUUGAAUGACAUCUUGUAUCCAUGUUGUCUGUUGCUUAAAUUUUUUUUUUUUUUACUUAAGUUGACACUGGGCAUGCUAAGUUUAAUACAACUUUUAAGAUAACUAUGAAACAAAAUUCUAAUUGAACUUUAACCUCCUCAGCAAUUAUCUAAUUGUGUUAUUCGUAAUAAGUAAAAUGUGUACUGAAAAUUUUGAUUCUUAAAGAAAUGGGAAGAGGAAUGGGGGACAUAGUUGAUUUGCAUGUGUGUCAAUUUCAUAUUCUUGCCUCUGUAUUCUUUAUGUUCAUCAAAAGUUCCUUUAGGCUUGUUCGUCGGAGCCAUUGGAACACUGAAGGCUCUAAAUUUUUGUGCCACUCUGCUUCAUUCUUAUCUCCAAAAUCGUUUGCUUGCCCCCUAUCCUCAAUUAUUUAUAAGCCUUGGGCAAUAAAUGGUGAGUGGUUGACCUCCUAAAUAUUUGUCUUACCACAAAUGUUUGCUCUUUUACUGUGGCCAUCCUAUGAUUGUUCUCCCAGUAUAUUUUCCCCCUGUUUGCAACAAUAAAAUCUUAUUAAAUGUCAGUAGGGUUAGACUAGAGGCUGUUGUCCCGUUAUUACUAUCCUCAAUUUCCUAAAAGUAUUAAGAGAUUAUCCACAUAUUCGGAUUUUAAGAUUACAGUUUACUUUUCCUAGUCUUUAAUUGCCUCUAAAUCUAUUCUUAUGUGCAUUCCUUUGCUAACAUAUUAUUUUUAUGAAUUUACUUGGAAGUGUUUGUACUCUUUCUCCUCAAGAUUAGUAUGCAAAGUUGCUUUAUGUUGAUUCUCCCAAGUUUAUGUCCACGUCUCAACUUUCUGUACCUUUGAAUUGCCUUCAACACCCAUCUGUCUUUUGGCUAUAAAGAUUAGACACGAGAAUUUGAGAAUAAAGAAAUUCAAAUGCUAUUGAUGUGGCAUUAUCUUCAAAAUUUGUUGUUGAUUAUGCAUUAGAUGUGCCAUCGAAUGAUUUUUCAUAAUCUAUUCUACAAACUAGAUAUAGGCACAUGGUCCAUAACAUGGCGCAACAUAUUUAUUAUAUCAACACUGCUGUUUUCAAACUCUUUAUAGUCGGUUACAUAUGAUGAUUAUCUUAAAAUAUCUAAUUUUGUAUUUCUUCAUAUUUAGCAGAGCAGACCUGCACUCUCACUUGCAAACCUACCCAACUAAUACCAACUUGCAAUCUGAACCAUAAUUUUCAAACUCAACUUUGGAGCCUCAAUACCACCUAAUAACAAAAAUACAUGUUGUGCAUGCCAUUCUAUUAUUUCUCUGAUUUCAAAUUUUUCUUGGUUUUAUUGUACAGGUUUGGGAUGAACUUGUGGAUUGAUUUUGGCUCAUGCUGAAGAACUCCUCUAUUUUGAUAUCAUCCAUCUCUAGUUUUUGUUGACCAUGGAAUUGAAGUCCAUCUUUUGGUUUUAGCAUAUGUUAGGUAUAUGGCAGUUAUCUAGGGAGAAAUAGCAAUAUUUAUAUUGGUUUCAAAUCGUGGAAUGGGAUGAUAUGUAAAUGUUUGACAUGGUUAACUUUUGUGGUUUGACAUAUUAUGGUUGCCUACUAAUGAUAAUUUGUGAAGUUUUGGUUGAUAUUUUGCUUGCAUACUUUUAUAUUUUGAUUGGAUGGAGUGUCUAAAUAGAUGAUAUGGUCACUUUGUUGGCACUAAAAUUGUUGGGCUUAAAAGUGAUGCAGCUGUCGUCAGGAAAAAUGACAUUGUAUUGUCGUUAAAGUUUCCUGACAAGUUUCAAUGUGUGACUAUUCUUGACAAUUGAAAAUUUAGUAACAAAGUUCAGGGUCUUUCUUGACAAAGGCUCGUCAACAAUAUGAGGUCUUUUCCUGAUGACCAAAUCAUCACUAUUACCUUUCCUGAUGAUGCGUCACAAAAAAUAAAACUUUUCUUGACGAAAAUUUCAAUAGUUGUCAGGAAAACCAUUUGCCGACGGUGUAUAGGUGACCAAUCUUCUCUGACGAUGUUGGUGUCACGAAAACUUUUCCUGACGAAACGCGUACCUUUUCUCGACAAAAAUUGUUGUCACUAGAAAUCUUUUUUUUUGUAGUGGCAUAUAGUGCUAUUUUAUGUUAUUUCAAAAUUUCAAAUCCACCCAACAGAUUUAACCCCAAAUUUGGCCAAUGAACAGCUGCAAUUUUUUAAAUUAUUCCUACAUUUUUAUCCAAACAAUUUCUAGAUAAGAAGAUUGACCCCAUAUGUAUAAAACUUAUACUUUAGCAACCAAGACUAUGAACACAUGGUUCAUCUUCCCCCAUUAAUUAAAGAAUUAAGUGAGAAAAACUUACAGAUUUAGGAUCCCAAAUGAAUGUAGUGUUUACCCGUUUGAGAGAAGCAAAGCUGCUGCCCCCGCCCCAUUUCUGUCCCACCGGCAUAAUUAUUUUGUGAUGUUGUCAUUUUCUUUUGUAUUCAAAUUAUAGAUUUAUUAAUAUCAAAAAAGUUAAAAUCCAUAAUUAAGCAAAGAGUAGUUUUUACUGGUUAUGAUUAUUCUCUUUAACCACUUUUCAUAACUAUUGGUACAUCAUAAAAUGCAAUAAAGUAUGUUGGAGAAGAAUACUAACCUGGUUAAUAUAAAUGGCAUCCCAACUAAAGGGCCAAUCUAGUACGAGUCCAAAACAUUUAGAAGCCUCUUGGUUAUGCGUGUGCUUGACUUUCUUACCUCCAAUAUAUUAUAAGACUAAGUUAAUUACUUAUGUAAAAAAGUAUUUUGUUGCAUUUCAUGUUCAUCUUAUCUUCUUUCUUUUAGUUGUUGUAACGAUCAGUAUCUUUUGGUAGAUAUAAUUAUCGGUACACCACAGAAUAUGGUAAAGUACACUACUCUGCUAGAGAAGAACAUCAACUUCAUUGAUAUGAAUUGCACCCUAUCUAAGGAAGGCAAUUUAGCGUGACUUCAAAGUAUUUCAAGGCUAUUUGGUUAUGCAUGCGGUGACCUUCUUACAUUAAAUAUAUUAAGAGGUUAAAUCAAUUAUUCAUGUAAAAGGGUACCAUGUUGCAUUUCACACUUAUUUUUUUAUUUUAGUUGUUGUACCACUUAAUAUCUUGGCUAAUUCCUCCAUUUAUUGUUCAAAAAAAAAAUCGUGUAAGUAUUGAUCUGACAGGCUACAAAAUUUUAUUUUUUAAAAAUUGCUGUGCUCAGCCCGGCAGCCGUCAUCAAAAGGCCCAAAAAAAAAAGCCUGCGUGGCCCCAGUAUUGUCCUUUAUGCCGCCAUGUGGGCAUGCCUAGAUUGCCCCAACAAAUGUUGAUGUCAUCGGGUGAAAUGCCUUCCCCUGCAGCAGCAAUUACAAUUAGGCAGGAAAGAUGUGAAUAUCCGGCUAAAAGAUUCGGAAGUAGCAGUUGAUCCUAUAACGGAGUAUAGCUAUAAUCAUUUGGUUGAGCCUCAAUCCUUUCUCUUUCUCCAUUUCCAGAUACAACGCCAAUGCAUCUGCGUACUCACCGUUUUGCAAGUAGCCCGAUAUCAUUGUCGUCCAAGAAAUCACAUUCCUGGAAAGCAUAUGAGAAAACAAGCGAGAAGCUUCCCUCAUAUCCCACUCUUUGGGUGACCAACGAUCAAGGCAUUCCAGGUGGGCACAUCUCUUGUGGACAUCCCAUCGAACUUUUUUUCUUUUUUCCUUUUGACGAUCGCUACCGGGCUGUAUAGCCAUCAGCUUUUUUUGUAUUUUUUUUUUAAAUUCAGGUGGCUACCCGGCUUAGUAAGCCCACAGGAAUAGUUCAAUAUUUCCUCUUUGUCAGAUCAAUACUUGCACGAUUUGGUUUUUUAAACAAUAAACAGAGGAAUUAGCCUAAUAGCUUUUGGUAGAUAUAAUAGUAAUAUACACCACUUUGAUAGAAGAAAAUACCAACUUGUUUGAUAUGAAAUGCAUCCCAAUUAAGAGAAAAAGUUAGGACCAAUUAAAAGUAUUUAGGGACCUCUUGGUUAUGCGUGUGGUUGAUCUUCUCACAUCAAAUAUAUUAUAAAGUUGAAUUAAUUACUCAUCAAAAAAGUACCUUAUUGGAAUCACACACAUAUUUUUCUUUUAAUUUUCUACCGUUUAGUAUUUUUGGUAGAUAUGAAUAUCAAUACACCGUAUAAUGCAGUAAAGUACACUAUUAUGAUAAAGAUGAACACCAACUUAGUAGAAAUUCAACGAAGUACUCUUUCGCAAUCGUAUUUGACUUAGUCUCACAAUAUGUACGAUGUGAGAAGAUUAAUCAGACGAAUAACCAAGAUCCUUCUUAAUAUUUUGAACAUGUGUUCUGAUGAAAUUGUAAAUCAUGGUUGCCAAAAAUUAAAUAUUAUGAAUCACUAGUAGUGUAUAAUGGUAGUUUUGAUUAUUACUCUAUAAUGGUCUUAAUUACGCAUUAGAAUCUUUGUUGUAAGGGAUCGAUGGAUAAAGUAAUAAUCCAGUAACAUUAGUUUACGAAAAUUAUAAAUUCGUAUUAUUAGCCUUUUUUUGGUCCUAGGUAUGAUACUAAAUUAGCAUUUUGGUCAUGUUAGUGUAAUUUUCUCUCUGUGUAUAAAUAUUUAGAGAAUGAUGCCAAAACAGCAUGGAUUAGAACGAAAAGACAACAAACAAAGCAUGACACAAAUUAAAAUGCCAUCAUCGAUGAAGGUAUUUCAAAGUCCCAAAAGUUGGAAAUACAUAAUCGACAAAAUAUUCUUUUAAUCUUAGAAAACAAAAAAAGACUAAAAAGUACAAAAUUAUAUCUUCAAAACAAAAAUAAGUUGUUAAGCAUCAAAAUUUAUUUGACAUGAGCUAAAUCCAAUUUAUCCUAACUUCAUAUUAGGGGCAAGUACAGUUGGUAUUUGUGUACAAUUGUCGGUGACGGGUAUUUUACAUACGUGCAAGCUAAAAAAUACCGAAUUACACCCGUUCACUGCAAGUAUACAGAUCAACUAGUAGUUUAGGGUAUAUAUCGGGUCGAUCCCACAAGGAAGAGUGAACAAUUACCGGUAUUACUAAAGCUUCUCUAUUAUUUAGACUAUCAAUAAAUUAUAACAAAUUUAACCUACUGAAAUUAUACAAAAUGACAAAUGAAAGCUCCUUAGGUUGUGGUAUCCCUAACUACUCAUGCAAGUGCUAUAUUUGGAUCAUUGAAUACUACAUCUAGGCUAAUUAUGGUGUAAUUUCCUUAUGCAUUUGAAUCCUACUUUCGUAGUGAAUCAAUUAUACUUAUAACUAAUCCAUACCUAUUCUCAUGGUUAUGAAAUUAGUUACAAGUUCAUUUCUUCAGUGAAAUUACAUGAAAUGAAUCACUAAAAACCACAUAGGUGCACCUCUACUCUCGUGAGUGUACUCCCUAUGUUUAGCACUUCUUGAACUAAUGUUAAAUCUCAAUUUUCAUUGCAGAAAUAACACCUUAGAUAAUCAGAAUUAAUGGUACCAGAAUAAUCAUGAUUUAAAGAGCCAAAGUGCUAAAUAACUUGCUCAAAUCAUAGCAGUUAAAUAGCCAAAUGAUAAACACUAACAAUCAUAGAAAGUUCAACCAAACCCAAGGCAUAAACUUUAGAAACACAUAAUAGACAUAAAUUCCAGAACUUGCAUAUUAACUAUAUUUAAGAAUCCAAUACAAAAGAUAAAGAGUUGGAGAAGAGAUAACCCAUGUCACUUGAGCUUCAACUUCUCUUUCUUCAUCUCCAUUUUCAUCCUAAUCUAGCCAUUAUACAAGAAUGGAUGAACUACACUUACUACACUAUCCUACACUAAGGAAAUGGAAGAACUACAUUUCUGCACUCUUCAAGCUUCUCCUGUAUAUUUUCCAAUGUCCUCAAAUGUCUCUGCAUAUAAGCUGAUGAAAAGUCCUUCCCUUACCAGUCAAAAAUUUCUGCUAUGAUUCUCCAAAUCUGAAUUUGUUAAGGGAGUCAAAAAUAAUGGCUUUUGACUUGGAACCUUGGCUAUAUCUCUUCCUUAUGUCUUCUGAAGCAUGUGCAGCCUACGUUUUCUCUCCAACUCUAGCUGGAAAGUAGUGUGAAGAUGAGAAAAAUGGCUGAGCAAAUUACAGAAAUUCGGCUGCCAUACACGUUUUUACUUUUGACCUCACUUCAACUGCAUUUUUCUCCAUGAUGAAGGCCGAACUGGCUUUUGUGCGAAACACAAAAGUUGUAGCCCUUUGAAUUAGAGAUCCAAUGCUUCAAGAAUCAUCUAAUUUGGAGAUCGGUGGACGGAGAUAUGGUCAAAAUACCAUAGACUGGUCAAUUCUGGGCUUCAGCUUUCGACCAUCCAGAUAAGUUUCUGUGUUUCGACCUUUUGACCAAGAAAACGGCUGAAUUGGAUUUUGAUGUCUUCAUACCAAAUGUAGAUAUAUCUCUUAGCUUCAAAAUGGUACCAAGAUCACCUUGAUCCGAUCAUUGUAGCUCCUGAUAUAGUGAAAAUACGAAAAUGUGUCUGAGUUGUCAAAGCUGACUUUUCUUGAUUUUUGUCCUCAAAUUGCAUUUCUUCCUUUUACACUUCAUAUUUUAUUUUCCCCACUUUAAUCCAUCUUCAAUUAUCCAAAUAUCUUCUCAAUGCACUUCAUUUGAUGAUUGAAUCAUUAAACCUACAAAAUAUGAAGUUUUUACCAUAAAAAUCCAUAAAAUGCAAUGUUUAGCCACUUUAACAUAAAAUGUAGUUUUUUACCAAAACCUUAGUUAUUUUAGUUAUAAAACUAAAUAAUCAAACCAAAAUUAACUAAUAAAACACACUAAAAAAUACGUAAAAUAAACUCUUAUCAGUCGGUUAUUGCACCUUUUACAUAAUAUAGUGCACAUUUAUAUAACUUUGUUGUAUCCAUAAAUUUUAUUUGUUUACACCAAAUCAAUGUAUAAAUACAACUACAUUUGUAAGUGUAUAUCAAAUUGUAGAUGAAAUACAUCAUCAUUAUCUAACCAAACCUAAGCUUACCGUACCUACCCCGAUCCCCCUAACUUCUGGUUUCUCAUUGCUUGUGCCACUAGAGUUUGGCUAUGAAGUCAACAUGAUACUAGGAUCUUGAGCACAUAUGAAGUGCAUUGCAAUUGCAGGUCUGGAAAAUUUACUUGACCAUAAAAAGCAACUUAAAAAGCCCAUUGCUUUGCUAUCGUUUAACUAUAAAGUCAGGUAGAUGCUUUAUCUGCAAAACGAACACAUCAUCAUCAAAGUAUUACUAGAAGAAUUUUCAAGUAAAUUCCACAAUAUUGCACAAAAAUCAUUACCAUGUAAGAUGAAUCCUGUGAAAAUAGAUUAAACCAAUAACUAGAGACAGAUUUUUGGCAAGAAAAAACAACCACUUAUUUGAAAUUUAGUCUACACCGAAUUGAAGGAGAAUGAACUACUCAUAAACUUUCCAAAGACUUUCAUUCACACAAUAAUAUUUUAUGCGAUUGAAUUUUAAGUUCAUUCACUUCAUCAUCUUGAACUUUGAACAAGUUGAUUUGUAGAACCGAGCCAUUUAUUAAUCAUCCUUAAAUGCAACCAGAAAGAAUUUGCUAAAUACAGUGCUAGUUAUAACAUGUUUUCCAAGGGAAAACAAUGCAAAUGGGCUUAGCUAAAACUCAUAAACCAGCCAAAUUAAAUAGAUAAAGAUCAAAAACAUCAAAACGGUUUAGUAAGACAACAAUUUUUACUUCAGCUUGGUCACUAGGUCGACGAGGAAGGCAAUCAACCCUGAGAGAUACUCCUAUGGCGUUCUUGCAAGGAUCCACAAACUUCUUUAUAGAUUGCCUUGAACUCAGAAUUGGAAAAUGACCGCGGCAAAUACGGUCAAUGAAAUUACUAGGUGAUAACAAGAUAUGCCCUAUUUCUCCCUGUUCCAACAUUUCGUCCUUACUUUGCCUUCUCAAAGGCUUUGACAUGAGCAUUAACAACCCCACAAUAUCUCAAGAAAUCACAUAGCAAGAGUCAAAUUUUGGAACUGAGCAAUGUAGAAUAAAGUUGAAAUUAACAUAAAUAAAUUCUAGUUGAACUUUAGAAAACAUGAAAAGUUCACUUCAAAGUAAAUUAGCGGGAAUAACUUGCAAACCUUCCUCAUGGGUAUUAAAUCAAACACACAUACUACCUCAAAAAAUUAACCUUUGAAGCCAAAAAUCAAUGUAAAUGGACAUAAAAACAACAACGAAGAUUAAAUAUAGGCUCAUUAUAAAGGAGAAAAAAUUGUUCCUGAUUAAAAUUUACAACUUGAAAGUUUAAGAGUAGAACAAAAAAUCUACCUGACAUUUAAUCAAACACUAGGGGAGCAUCCACAAAUAUAAUAAUUAAAUGAUCAUCACAUGUUAUACUCCGUACUCUCGAGUUAUGAUAAACAAAAGGAUCCAAAUAUCCCAAACACAACCUUCAGAAAACAAUCCGCAUAUAAAAAUGAAAAAAAUAGUACAUAAUUAAAAGAUCAAGGGGCUUACAUCAAUCAGAUGAUAACCAACCAAUCUGUAAUGGAAUUGCGACUGUCAUCCUGCUUUAAGAUUGCCUAAUUGAUUCAUGACUUUCUUUUUUUUAUUGCCCUUUCUAUUCAUUGUUGGUGUUCGGAGUAACAUAGAGAGGCUAACAAUACAUCAUUCUUUUGUUAGAGUUUCUUCAAUGUGUGAGGAAGAUAAAAGGAAAAACUUGGAAGUAAGACAAUUGAAAAUUUUGAGAUUUCAAAACUUCAUUGGAUGGAAGCCAACGGUGUCAAUGAAUUUAUUUUUGCAGAGGAGUUUAGAAUUUAUCAUCCAAUACUUUUCUAUGAUAUUUUAGGAAGGAAAAAAAAAACCAGUGGCCCUGAAACUUUCAGCCGUGUAAAGUUUUAGCUCUCCAACUAGAGCUGCAAACGAGUCGAGUCGAGUCGAAUUUUGGCCUAAUCGAAUCGAGUCUUCACAUAAUUUUAGUGAACUCGAAUUCGAACUCGAGCUCGACGAGUCGAAAAUUUCAACCUCGAGCUCGAAAAAAAUUAAAAAUAAUUAUUUUUAUUUUUAACAAAUAAAUAAAAUAAUAUUUUUUUAAAUAAAUAAUAAAAUAUUAAGGAUAUAUAUGUAAUUUUACUAUUAAAAUAAAAAAUAAAAAAUAUAUAUAUACUUAAAAUAAUAUAUAUAUAUUUAUGCUCGAGUUCGCGAGUCUAACGAGCUUAAUAUUGUGACAGCCCCACCUUCCCCUAAAGCGAAUCAAAGGGUUCAGCGGACCACUUGCCCAACUCUCGCCAGGGCUCGAGCACUCUAUUCAGAUAAAUAUUACAAAAUCUCGAGGAAAAGUAAAACAAAACCAAUUCCCAGACUUGAAACGCUUACUUACAUUCAUUUCUAUCUCAAAAGUAAUACAAUCCCAAAUGUAGAAAAGCUUUAGAUUCCCAAUACUUCCAACCCUAACCAAGCACUAGAGCGAGUACAAUUGCAAAAGAUAUCUUCAAAAGGACUAGGUUAUGCUAUUCUAUACAAGUCUCUCGCCCUUGCUCGUAUCCCCUGUAAGGAAAACAAAACUAACGGAAUGAGCUAAAAACCCAGUGAGGUUUCAGACACAUAAACAAACAAUGAGUUCAAUACAUUAACCAUAGAUAGCAAGUAAUUCCAGAAACAUGACAAUAUAAAGCAAUAAUAACAUUCAAUAAAAGGAUACGUGCUCACAUGAAGUCAUUCAUUCAUUCAUUCAUUCUCCUUUCAUUUCCUUAUUUCUCCAUUCGUUUGCAAAUGCAUUUUGAUAAGUAAAACCCUUCAUUUAUAUUGACAUUCGUUCAUUCAUUUUAUUCCACUCCCUCCUGGACGUUGGCCAGGCUCCACCAGACUACACGGUAAUACUCGAGUAUACCAAACGUUCACCCAGAGUCACCAAAUCGCCCGACCGAGUCAGCUUCUGGCUCGAGUCGACCGGCAACGAAGGGCAAGGGCUCAGUUUAGCCAAACGGCUUACAUUCAUGCGCAACUAGCAUUUAAUUAUUUAAUCAUUGAAAAUUUCACAUUCAUUUAGGUCGAGUGCGAUAAAGUACACACUUGUGAGAGUCUUGAAAAAAAAAAUAUAUAUAUAUAUACAUAUAUACAUGUUGCAACUGCAUUUUAGACUUUUAAUAAAUUUUAUUAUUAGUUGUUCUUAAAUAAGUAUGUAAAAAUAAUUUUUAGAUUACAACUAAUUUAAUUGUGUAAAAUAUUAAAUUAUUUGAUUUUUGCCAAGUUAAAUUAAUAUUUCUUGUUGUAGAUUAUUUUAUUGCUUUAAUAUUAAUUCUUUGAAUUCCGAUAGCUAAUAUUAAGUGUUAAUAAUGUUAAGUGUCAACGGGAACCUAGAAUUAAGACGAAAUCGAUUUUAGGUCAAAACCCUUUAUAAUUUCACUUAGGACGUUAAAAUCUCGAUAAUUGAAUUUUUGGCCAGAUUAGUAUACUAGUAGGCUAUCAAAUUUCAUUUGGGGUAAAAUUUUAGAAUUUGAUUACGAGUAAGGACUUAAGUGGAAGGUCGGACAAGAUGUUAAACGACCAAUUUAGCCUUCCUCCAUCGCAAAUUAACCAUGCAGCCAUGGAACCUCCUUGGGUAAGCUUCAAAUCCAAGCAUUUCCAUCUUGCCGGUUCCAUUCUCCACAUCAACACUCAACCUUCCAUCUUUGCCGACUCACCCUCACUACACACACUCCACUACAUCAGCUUCAAUUCACCACAACACUCCAUUUCCAUUUCCUUCUCCUGCCGUGAACCGAGAGUGAAGUGAGAGAGAGAGGGAGCCGAGCUCUUUAUUUUCUUUCCUUUCUCUCUGUCCGUAAGCUAGAAAGAAAAAAAGAGAGACCUGCCGUUCUUCCUUCAUUUCAUCCGUGAGCUGGUGAAGAGCACCGAGAGCCAACACUUCCAUCAUUUCGUUUGUAAGCUUGAGCAAGGGGGAGAGAGUCGGUGAGCUGCAUUUCUGAACUGUCCGAGAGAGAGAGAGAGAGAGAGCAAGAGGUAGUGUGCGAGCUAUCUGUCUUCAUCUCCUCCAUCACUGCCGAGCUGUUCAUUUCCUUCCUCAUCUUCAACCAGAUGCGAUCAGCCCAACAACCAACACCACAGCCUGCCCAAACUGAGCUCAGCCAGUUAUACCCGAGUUCCUUAGCAAGCCGAAAGGAGAGAAAAAUUGCAGCUGCUUGUCGCGUGUGUUGAGCUUCAAGUUGAGGUAAAAUCUGGACUUAGACCAGUUAAUUAUAGGUAGAUGAUGUUGUUUAUGGGCAUGCAUGUGAUGGUUGUGCAGUUGGAUGAUGAAUUAAGUCACAGGAAAUCUGAUUAUGAAGAGGAUGGGAAUUGCCGAGAGCUUGAGCUGGGAAAUGCAGCUUUAAUUUGUUAAUUUGAGGUGAUCUGAGCCUAGAUGUGUGCUUAGCUAACUAAAAAUUGGAUGAUUAAGCAUUGCAUGAGGUUAAUCAGUCUUGAUUAAGCAAGAAAAUCAAAGUGAUACAGAAUCUGCUUGCAUGCAAGCCAACCGAGAAGACUUGGAUGAAAUUCUGGUUGGCUGGUGACCUUUGAUGAUGUCCGAACCUGGCUUUGGAUUAAAACUGAUAGUCAAUUAAUUAAUUGGUCAUGCAUGUUGCUGAUUGAGCCGUGACUUUCCUAUUUGUUUUGGGUUAAAUUUCUGGUUGAUUUGAUGUAAGGAGUGAUUGUUUGAUGCCAAGAGCUAAUGAUUGAUGAAGCUCUUGGCCAUUUGAGUAAUUUUUGCAAGAGUUAAAUUUUUGGUGGAAUUGUUUAAGUGAUUUGGCCGAAAUGCGCUUGGAAAGUCCAUGAAUUGUGGUUUGGAAUGGUUUUGAUGUCUUGGACUUCCUUUGUUUAAUUUUGAUUAGAAUUGAACUUGUUGAGACCUAGGGCUAAUGAUUGAUGAAACCCUAGUGAAAUUGAUGUUUGAAUUGUGAUUUUUCUAUAUUGGCAAAUUGGAAUAUAAUGUACAAGUGAAUUGGAAUCGUGAAAUCCGUUUUGGUCCUUUGAAUUCGAGUAAUUGUUAACCAAGCUUUGUUGGAAUAUAGUGUCCUAGUAUCAAGAUAUGGAAUUUGUGUAUAGCGCGAUAAUGCUAAAAUUCGAGUGUCGAGACUUUUAAAACCUUGCCAACUAGUUAAUUCUUUACUUUGCUUAAACUAGCCUUAUUACUUUUAGGAAAUGAUUGCACUAACUUUCAAACUCUAAAAUUUUUCGUAAAACUGACCCUGGCUAGUUGUUUUUGAGGAAAAUUGUCAAAAACACGAGAUGUUAAUAACAUUAAAUGAAAGGCGGAGAAAACUUAUUCGGCAAGAAAACUUAUUUGAAGUAAGUUGGUUCUGGUUUGCACCUCUAGAAAGAAAGUACCUUCAAAGAAACCAUAUGAAAUACUUUAUCACUUUUACUAGUUUUAAUUCUAAGAGAAUUGAGGAUUUAUUUUGAGAAGAUAAACUAGUUAUAUACCGGAUAAUCUUUUAUAUAUAAACCAAGAAUUUGUAUAGUAAAACUUAUAGUUUUAAAACUUGGUCUUUUAGGGUUUAGCGAGGACGUGGGUUUCGAUUCCCAACUGGACUUUUGAGCUUCACUUUUGGUGAGUGUCCUUGCUUGUUCUAUGUUUAUCUUGUUAAGGCGCUUUCUUGACUUGUUAUGUGAUAAUCGGAUAGUGAUUUUCCUGAUCCAUCGAAAUGGGUAGUGUGUACUUUAUCGCGCUAGCCUUUCGAGUGGUGACUUACUUGAAAUGUUUUCUCGAAUAUCUUGCUCGCACUAGUUAAGUACUGAGUGGGGGAAUGUACCACACCUGAGGGUGGGAGGGCCUCUUAUCCUAACUCAAGCAUCAAAAAAACCUUGCAACUGUUGACUGGAGCGUGGACUCGUCAACUAAACCACCAGGCAGGGGAAUGUACCACACCUUAAGGUGGGAGGGUCUCUUAUCCUGACUUGGUAACCCCUUGUUGUGACGUCGUUGGGUGAAUCCCUCGACUAGACUAUUAAAAGGUAUACUCGAGUAAUACCAAACUUCCUAGUGAGAAGAACGGGCCCGGUGGGAGUAAGUUGGUUGGAGCAUGUUAAGAUAAAAAAAAAAAGUUCUACGUGGACUUUAGAUAGUGAGAGUUGACGGAGGGUCAACUGCGGUUAAUUUUGAUCAAGUUCGUGGAAAAUGGCUCCUGAGAGCCCUGUAUCCUACCCUGUGCUGUUAUACGCUUUCCUACUUGUUGAAUUUUAGUUUGGAGUUAUUAUUCGCUAUUUUUUUAUAUGAUUGCAUGUUCGGGGCACCACUGAGUUUUAGUUCACCCCAUGUUACUUGUUUUCCUUAACAGGUUCCGACAUUUGAGAGACCUGAAGUCUGCCUUUACCUUUUAUGAAUGUUGUUUUGAAUCAGACUAUGUAUCUUUCGUUUUGGGUUGCCACUUGAAGCUGGAAAAGUGCAAAACCUGAGUUUUGUUUGGCUUGUAGGAUUGUAUUUGAAUUCUAUGAUUUCACUUUGUGGUUUGUAACGUGUGAAUGUAGUUGUGUUGUAAACUGAUUGGAGGUGUACUUAAGAGUGGAUGUUCAGUCGUCCAGUGGUAAUAUUAUCUCUGAAGUUAAUGUGUUUCUAGUAGUUUUGGUUGUUUUAAGGAUUGGCUUGUUCGGGUGACGAGUUUAGUAAUGGUUUAAGCUAUACGUCGGGAAGGUUUAGCCAGUUUACUUGUGUGAGUCCUGGCGAGAGCCAGGCAGACGACCCGCCAACCCUUUGGUUCACCUUAGGGAGAAGUGGGGUCGUCACAGUUGGUAUCAGAGUUUAUGUUAGAAAAAUUAUUUGAAAGAUAUAUUAGAUGUGAUAGAAACCCUGAACCUGUUUAGAGUUAAGAAGUGAGAUAAUUAGACACAUCUUAAGUAGUACUUGAGCAAGUUAGCUAUUUAAGCAUUAACUUUUGGAUUUUGGUUAUUUUGCAGGUAUGAAAAACGGAAACGGACAUACUAAUGGUAACGGAUUGGCUAAUGGACAUGUAGAGCCUCUUAGGUCCAUCUCCUAUAGACCACGAGGCGGAGGAUCUCGUAUACGUUAUACACCAGCUGAUAGGUACCCCUGAUGUCAGUGUAGGGUCACAUAUGCCUACCCUAACGAGUUAGUACUGUCUUUAGAUGACGAGCGUCGCCAGCUGAGGGACGCUAAUCAUACUUUGACCCAGGACGUUGAGGAGUUGAGCAUCAUGGUUAAUACUCAGCUUGACCGCAUAGCUGAUCUAGAGCAGAGGUUAGCAGCCGAGAGGGCUAGGUCAGAGGUUGCUCGUGAGGAGUUACAGAGACAGAGGUCUUGGUUGACUCGAGUAGCUGAGGAGGUACGAGAUAGGAGUGCUGGUAUCACGGCUGACGUCACUAUGAUGAUAGACGAGGUCAUGGGUAUCAUUCAGAGUACUGCUCAGGCGGGUGUUGGGGAGGAGGAUCCGGAGGAGGACCCUGAGAAGGAUGUUGCCCCUGGCAGCUCUGCUGAGGGUUAGACUAGGUUUGAUUUGCUUGUAACUAAGUAUUCGGAGUUAGAUAGGGUGACACUAGUUUAGGUCAUAACAUUUUGUCUAACUUGAUGGUCUACUUUUGAGGCACUACAUCCCUAUUUUUGGUUUAAGGGACUGUUUGUAUAUAUUUGUUAAACUUAUGUGUCAUACUUUUGGAGAGCACCCUAACUUGCUAUUUGUAUGAACCUCGGUAUGUGAAUAUGUGUGAAGUGUUCUAUUUUCUUUUUCCUUAAUAUUCAUGUUGAUUUUAUUUACAAAAAGAAAAAAAAGAUUAAAUUAAUUAAUUAAAAUAUCCUCGCUUAAUUGCUUUAUUUUUUUAUCACUAGGCAUAACUAGGCUAUGGAUCGACAAAUUAGAGGUAGAGAACGUGGGAGAUCAACUAGACAACACCCCGAGGUUGGUGGUGAUAGGGAACCUGAAGUCAAUCAAGACCAUGGUCAAUAGGGCGCGGCUGGAGACCCAGUGGCCAUCGCGAUCAAUAGAAUAACUGAUGUCUUAGAGCGCAUGACUGAGCACCAAGCCCUUGGACCAGUGCAUCACCAAGGAGGCCCAAUCGAUACUGAGGAUCGGGCAUUAGAGAGAUUCUUGAAGUUUGGACCUCCUAAGUUUUAUGGAGGACCAGAACCUGAGGUAGCAGAAGGUUGGUGGGAGAGGAUAUCUGACAUUUUUGCAGCUCUAAAUUAUGCGGAGGAGAGACAAGUGACUUUCGCAGCAUUCCAGUUUGAGGGAGCUGCUCGUUCCUGGUGGAACCUAGUUAGGGUUAAUUGGGACAGGAACCAUAUUCCAAGGACCUGGGCGAACUUCACAAGGGAGUUCAACGCCAAGUUUCUUCCCCCUCUCAUUCAAGAGAAAAGAGAGGAUGACUUCAUCAAAUGUAGGCAGGGGGCGGUGAGUGUCGCCGAAUAUGAGAUUCAAUUCACAAAAUUGUCCCGUUUUGCUCCUGAAUUGCUAGCCACGGAGCAAAGAUGUAUAAGGAAGUUUGUGCAGGGAUUAAAAGUGGAGAUCCAGGAGGGAUUAGCUGCUGUUCGGAUAGACACAUUUGCUGAUGUUGUAGAGAGAGCUCAAAGGGUUGAAGUUGCCAGAGCUCAAGUAAAAUCUUUCCAGGCCAAGAAAAGAUUUGCCCCUAGCAGCAGUUGGGAGCCGACUUAUGCAAAUGCUCCACCGGCCAAAGUGGGUCGAGGAACGGGUGGAAUAAAUAGUCAUGGAGCACCACGAGGCGCUCUAGCGAGAGGAGCUGGGGCAAGAGGUGUCGGGGAAAGAGAUAUCGGGGCUAGAGGAAGACCAAGUGGAAGGGGUCAACCUAGGAACGCCUCGCAAGGAGGUCGUGUGACAACCCCUCAGGUAACUUGUGGGUAUUCCAGGAAAGCUGGCCAUACUGAGGACGGAUGCUGGAGGAAAGAAGGAAAGUGCUUGAGGUGCGGAAGCAGCGAGCACCAGAUUGCCGGUUGUCAAAAAACCCUAGAAGGUGGUACCCCGAGUGCUAGACAAGUCACUUUUGGAGAAAGUAGGCCGAAAGUUCCUGCCAGGAUGUACGCCAUAAACGACCAACCCGUACCUGAUUCCUCGGAAGUCGUGAAAGAUACUCUUCCAAUCUUUCACCGAUUAGUUAGAGUACUAUUUGAUCCUGGCGCAACUCAUUCAUUUGUGAAUCCAACUUUUAUGUCCGGAAUUGAUGUAAAACCUGUUAGAUUACCCUUUGAUCUUGAAGUUAGGACACCAAUGGGUAAUAAAAGUAUAAUCACUAGCCUGGCCUAUAAGAACUGCGAAUUCUGGAUUGGAGAGCGUAGGAUGCUAGUAGAUCUAGUCAGUUUGGACAUAAAAGGUUAUGAUGUUAUUAUAGGAAUGGAUUUUCUAACUCAUUACCAUGCUAAGCUUGAUUGUAGAGCAAAAGUGUUAGAAUUUUGGAUUCUCGGGGAAACAACCUUGAAAUUGGAUGUGAAAGGCAGGUUAGCAUCGUCUGCUAUGAUUUCGGGAAUUCGGACAAGGAAAAUGUUGAAUAAAGGAGCGCAAGGUUUCUUAGCCUUCCUGAUUAAUGCUCCCGGUGACCAAGUAAAGUUGAAAGAUGUACCAGUGGUGAGAGAAUUUUCAGAUGUGUUUUCCGAAGAAUUAAAAACAUUACCUCCCGAGAGAGAAGUGGAGUUCAAGAUUGAACUAGUGCGGGGAACGGCUCCGAUUUCUAAGACUCCGUACCGAAUGGCUCCUGCAGAGUUAAAAGAAUUGAAAAUUCAAUUACAGGAUUUAUUGGAGAGAGGUUUUGUUAGAGAAAGUGAUUCGCCAUGGGGAGCACCUGUUCUAUUUGUUAAGAAAAAGGAUGGGAGUUUGAGAUUAUGUAUUGAUUAUCGAGGAUUAAAUGAAGGUACAAUUAAAAAUAAAUACCCUCUACCAUUGAUUGACAGCUUAUUCGACCAGCUGCAAGGAUCAGUAGUUUUCUCCAAGCUGGAUUUGAGGCAAGGGUAUUAUCAGUUGAAAAUUAAGAAGGAAGACAUACCUAAAACUGCUUUUAAUACAAGAUAUGGACAUUUUGAGUUUGCAGUCAUGCCAUUUGGAUUAACCAAUGCACCAGCUGCCUUCAUGGACUUAAUGCAGAGAGUCUUUAAAAAGUAUUUGGAUCAGUUUGUAGUAGUUUUUAUUGAUGAUAUCCUAAUAUAUUCUAAGACUCGAGAAGAACAUGCUAAACACCUGGGGAUAGUUCUGCAGAUCUUAAGAGAGCAUAAGUUGUAUGCUAAAUUUAGCAAGUGUGAGUUUUGGCUGGAAGAAAUUUCUUUUCUAUGGCACAAAGUUUCUAAAGAUGGAAUUGUCGUGGAUCCGGCAAAAGUUGAGGCGGUCACAAUGUGGAAGUAGCCAGAAACUUCAACUGAGGUUAGAAGUUUCUUGGGCUUAGCAAGUUAUUACAGGCGGUUCAUCAAGGACUUUUCGAAGAUUGCUGGACCUAUGACAAAGCUGACAAAGAAAAAUAAUAAGUUCAUUUGGACUCCAAAGUGCGAGUCAAGCUUUCAGGAGUUAAAAAAGCGCUUAACAUCAGCUCCUGUUUUGGCAUUGCCUGACGGAGUAGAAAGUUAUGUCGUACACUCCGAUGCCUCUAGGAAAGGUCUAGGAUGCGUACUAAUGCAAAAGAGUAAGGUAGUGGCCUAUGCCUCUAGAAAAUUGAAACCUCACGAACAAAAUUACCCAACGCAUGACCUAGAAUUGGCAGCAGUGGUCUUUGCCUUAAAGAAAUGGAGGCAUUACUUGUAUGGUGUGACCUUUGAAGUUUAUACGGACCACAAGAGCCUUAAGUACUUGUUCUCCCAAAAGAAAUUGAAUUUGAGACAGAGGCGGUGGGUAGAAUUUUUAGAAGAUUAUGAUUGUUCUAUCAACUACCACCCAGGAAAAGCCAACGUGGUAGCAGACGCUCUAAAUAGAAAGGCCCAAGUAGCGGGGUUAAUGGUAAAAGAAUGGGACAUGUUGGAAGAGGUUAGUAUUUGGAACCCUCGCUUGGAGAGAUUGAAGAUUUUAUUUGGGAACUUGUCGUUGAAGUCACCAUUAUUGGAGCGUAUUAAGGAGGCACAGAAAACGGACUCUAUAAUCCAGAAAAAGUUGGAGAAAGUGCAAAAAAGAGAAACCCUAGACUUUAAAUUAGGGUCUGAAGGAGUGUUAAGGUUUCGAGAUCGAAUUGUGGUUCCAGUUGAUGAAGGGUUAAGGAAAGAAAUUCUAGAAAAAUCACAUCGAUCAAGGUAUACUAUACACUCAGGAGUGAACAAAAUGUAUCACGAUGUGAAAGAGUUAUAUUGGUGGGACGGUUUGAAAAGGGACGUGGCAGAAUUUGUACAAAAAUGUCUGAUAUGCCAACAAGUAAAAGCUGAACAUCAGAAACCCUCUGGUCUAUUGCAGCCACUAGAAAUUUCUGAAUGGAAAUGGGAACACGUAACCAUAGAUUUUGUAACGGGAUUGCCUCGAAGUCAAAAAGGAUUUGAUGCGAUUUGGGUGAUAGUUGACAGGCUUACCAAGUCCGCACAUUUUCUACCUGUGAGUAUGAGUUUUUAUUUGGAGAAGCUGGCCAAGUUGUACUCAGAAGAGAUCAUGAGAUUGCAUGGUAUCCCUAUAAGUAUUGUGUCUUAUCGAGAUCCAAGAUUUGUUUCACGGUUCUGGCAGAAAUUUCAAGAGACAUUGGGGACCAAGUUAAGAUUUAGUACUGCUUAUCAUCCCCAAACAGACGGACAGUCAGAAAGGACAAUUCAGACUUUGGAGGAUAUGCUGAGGUCGUGUAUAUUGGAUUUUGGAGGUAAAUGGAGUCAGUAUAUGACCUUAGUAUAAUUUGCCUAUAAUAACAGCUAUCACACUUCAAUUCAAAUGGCACCUUAUGAGGCAUUGUAUGGGAGAAGGUGUCGAUCUCCGAUUCAUUGGGAUGAAGUGGGAGAGAAGAAAAUUUUAGACCCAACGGCUAUACCUUGGAUAAAAGAAGCUCAUGAGAAAGUGAAACUAAUUAGGGAAAGGCUUCAAACUGUCCAGAGUCGACAAAAGAGCUACGCCGACACAAGGAGAAAAGAUUUGGAAUUCGAAGUAGGAGACAAGGUUUUCCUAAGAGUUAAACCCUUGAAGGGCGGAGUAGUGUCCAAACAAAGUAAGAAGCUAAAGCCAAGGUAUAUUGGACCUUUUGAAAUUUUGAAACGAAUCGGUAAAGUGGCGUAUCAGUUGAGGUUGCCUUUGAGCAUGGCCAAGAUUCACAAUGUAUUUCAUGUUUCUAUGCUCAAGAAAUAUCACCCCAACCCAAGCCAUGUGUUGCAAUUGGAAGGAAUUGAGGUGGAUGAGUCGUUAACUUAUGAAGAAGGACCAGUUAAGAUUUUGGAAUGAGAAGUGAAAGAAUUGAGAAGUAAGAAAAUUCCUUUGGUAAAGAUUCUAUGAAAAAAUCAUGGAAUAGAGGAGGCAACUUGGGAACUAGAAGAGGAUAUGCAGAGAAAAUACCCCAAUUUAUUUCUUUAAAAGGUAAGAAUUUUGAGGACAAAAUUCAUUUAAGUGGGGGAGGAUGUGAGAGCCUUGAAAAAAAAAAUAUAUAUAUAUACAUAUAUACAUGUUGCAACUGCAUUUUAGACUUUUAAUAAAUUUUAUUAUUAGUUGUUCUUAAAUAAGUAUGUAAAAAUAAUUUUUAGAUUACAACUAAUUUAAUUGUACAAAAUAUUAAAUUAUUUGAUUUUUGCCAAGUUAAAUUAAUAUUUCUUGUUGUAGAUUAUUUUAUUGCUUUAAUAUUAAUUCUUUGAAUUUCGAUAGCUAAUAUUAAGUGUUAAUAAUGUUAAGUGUCAACGGGAACGUUGAAUUAAGACGAAAUCGAUUUUAGGUCAAAACCCUUUAUAAUUUCACUUAGGACGCUAAAAUCUCGAUAAUUGAAUUUUUGGCGAGAUUAGUAUACUAGUAGGCUAUCAAAUUUCAUUUGGGGUAAAAUUUUAGAAUUUGAUUACGAGUGAGAACUUAAGUGGAAGGUCGGACAAGAUGUUAAAAGACCAAUUUAGCCUUCCUCCAUCUCAAAUUAACCAUGCAGCCAUGGAACCUCCUUGGGUAAGCUUCAAAUCCAAGCAUUUCCAUCUUGCCGGUUCCAUUCUCCACAUCAACACUCAACCUUCCAUCUUUGCCGGCUCACCCUCACUACACACACUCCACUACAUCAGCUUCAAAUUCACCACAACACUCCAUUUCCAUUUCCUUCUCCUGCCUUGAACCGAGAGUGAAGUGAGAGAGAGAGGGAGCCGAGCUCUUUAUUUUCUUUCCUUUCUCUCUGUCCGUAAGCUAGAAAGAAAAAAAGAGAGACCUGCCGUUCUUCCUUCAUUUCAUCCGUGAGCUGGUGAAGAGGACCGAGAGCCAACACUUCCAUCAUUUCGUUUGUAAGCUUGAGCAAGGGAGAGAGUCGGUGAGCUGCAUUUCUGAACUGUCCGAGAGAGAGAGAGAGAGAGCAAGAGGUAGUGUGCGAUCUAUCUGUCUUCAUCUCCUCCAUCACUGCCGAGCUGUUCAUUUCCUUCCUCAUCUUCAACCAGAUGCGAUCAGCCCAACAACCAACACCACAGCCUGCCCAAACUGAGCUCAGCCAGUUAUACCCGAGUUCCUUAGCAAGCCGAAAUGAGAGAAAAAUUGCAGCUGCUUGUCGCGUGUGUUGAGCUUCAAGUUGAGGUAAAUUCUGGACUUAAACCAGUUAAUUAUAGGUAGAUGAUGUUGUUUAUGGGCAUGCAUGUGAUGGUUGUGCAGUUGGAUGAUGAAUUAAGCCACAGGAAAUCUGAUUAUGAAGAGGAUGGGAAUUGCCGAGAGCAUGAGCUGGAAAAUGCAGCUUUAAUUUGUUAAUUUGAGGCGAUCUGAGCCUAGAUGUGUGUUUAGCUAACUAAAAACUGGAUGAUUAAGCUUUGCAUGAGGUUAAUCAGCCUUGAUUAAGCAAGAAAAUCAAAGUGAUACAGAAUCUGCUUGCAUGCAAGCCAACCGAGAAGACUUGGAUGAAAUUCUGGUUGGCUGGUGACCUUUGAUGAUGUCCGAACCUGGCUUUGGAUUAAAACUGAUAGUCAAUUAAUUAAUUGGUCAUGCAUGUUGCUGAUUGAGCCGUGACUUUCCUAUUUGUUUUGGGUUAAAUUUCUGGUUGAUUUGAUGUAAGGAGUGAUUGUUUGAUGCCAAGAGCUAAUGAUUGAUGAAGCUCUUGGCCAUUUGAGUAAUUUUUGCAAGAGUUAAAUUUUUGGUGGAAUUGUUUAAGUGAUUUGGCCGAAAUGCGCUUGGAAAGUCCAUGAAUUGUGGUUUGGAAUGGUUUUGAUGUCUUGGACUUCCUUUGUUUAAUUUUGAUUAGAAUUGAACUUGUUGAGACCUAGGGCUAAUGAUUGAUGAAGCCCUAGUGAAAUUGAUGUUUGAAUUGUGAUUUUUCUAUAUUGGCAAAUUGGAAUAUAAUGUACAAGUGAAUUGGAAUCGUGAAGUUCGUUUUGGUCCUUUGAAUUCGAGUACUUGUUAACCAAGUUUUGUUGGAAUAUAGUGUCCUAGUAUCAAGCUAUGGAAUUUGUGUAUAGCGCGAUAAUGCUAAAAUUCGAGUGUCGGGACUUUUAAAACCUUGCCAACUAGUUAAUUCUUUCCUUUGCUUAAACUAGCCUUAUUACUUUUAGGAAAUGAUUGCACUAACUUUCAAACUCUAAAAUUUUUCGUAAAGCUGACCCUGGCUAGUUGUUUUAGAGGAAAAUUGUAAAAAACACGAGAUGUUAAUAACAUUAAAUGAAAGGCAGAGAAAACUUAUUCAGCAAGAAAACUUAUUUGAAUUAAGUUGGUUCUGGUUUGCACCUCUAGAAAGAAAGUACCUUCAAAGAAACCAUAUGAAAUACUUUAUCACUUUUACUAGUUUUAAUUCUAAGAGAAUUGAGGAUUUAUUUUGAGAAGAUAAACUAGUUAUAUAUCGGAUAAUCUUUUAUAUAUAAACCAAGAACUUGUAUAGUAAAACUUAUAGUUUUAAAACUUGGUCUUUUAGGGUUUAGCGAGGACGUGGACUUCGAUUCUCAGCUUGACUUUUGAGCUUCACUUUUAGUGAGUGUCCUUGCUUGUUCUAUAUUUAUCUUGUUAAGGCACUUUCUUGACUUGUUAUGUGAUAAUCGGAUAGUGGUUUUCCUGAUCCAUCGAAAUGGGCAGUGUGUACUUUAUCGCGCUAGCCUUUCGAGUGGUGACUUACUUGAAAUAUUUUCUCGAAUAUCUUGCUCGCACUAGUUAAGUACUGAGUGGGGGAAUGUACCACACCUGAGGGUGUGAGGGCCUCUUAUCCUAACUCAAGCACCAAAAAAACCUUGCAACUGUUGACUGGAGCGUGGACUCGUCAACUAAAUCACUAGGCAGGGGAAUGUACCACACUUUAGGGUGGGAGGGCCUCUUAUCGUGACUUGAUAACCACUUGUUGUGACGUCAUUGGGUGAAUCCCUCGACUAGGCUAUUAAAAGGUAUAUUCGAGUAAUACCAAACUUCCUAGUGAGAAGAACGGGCCCGGUGGGAGUAAGUUGGUUGGAGCGUGUUAAGAUAAAAAAAAAAAGUUCUACGUGGACUUUAGAUAGUGAGAGUUGACGGAGGGUCAACUGCGGUUAAUUUUGAUCAAGUUCGUGGAAAAUGGCUCCUGAGAGCCCUGUAUCCUACCCUGUGCUGUUAUACGUUUUCCUACUUGUUGAAUUUUAGUUUGGAGUUAUUAUUCGCUAUUUGUUUAUAUGAUUGCAUGUUCGGGGCACCACUGAGCUUUAGUUCACCCCAUGUUACUUGUUUUCCUUAACAGGUUCCGGCAUUUGAGAGACCUGAAGUUUGCAUUUACCUUUUAUGAAUGUUGUUUUGAAUCGGACUAUGUAUCUUUCGUUUUGGGUUGCCACUUGAAACUGGAAAAGUGCAAAACUUGAGUUUUGUUUGGCUUGUAGGAUUGUAUUUGAAUUCUAUGAUUUCACUUUGUGGUUUGUAACGUGUGAAUGUAGUUGUGUUGUAAACUGAUUGGAGGUGUACUUAAGAGUGGAUGUUCAGUCGUCCAGUGGUAAUGUUAUCUCUGAAGUUAAUGUGUUUCUAGUAUUUUUGGUUGUUUUAAGGAUUGGCUUGUUCGGGUGACGAGUUUAGUAAUUGUUUAAGCUAUACGUCGGGAAGGUUUAGCUAGUUUACUUGCGUGAGUCCUGGCGAGAGCCAGUCAGACGACCCGCCAACCCUCUGGUUCGCCUUAGGGAGAAAUGGGGUCAUCACAACACUCGCCUAGAAAACUCAUUUUAAGCAAUCAUUGAAAACAUUUAACAUGUUAUCAUUUGUUCAUAACAAGUCAUAUAAUCAAGAACAAGCCACAUAGUUAAUGAAAAUAUAACAAACAAGAAACACUCACCUAUUUAGGCAAAAUAACGUCUAAAAUAUCCUUCCGGAUAACACCCUCAAUCACCCAGGAAUCCUAAUAUAAUCAAAAGAACACAUUAUGCUUCAACCAUCAAAGAUGUAAGUGAUUCAAAGAAAAUUCGAAUACGUGCUAGUACAAAGUAUAAAUAUGAUUUUGGUAGUGAAAAGAGUACAUUUAAACCAAAGAACAUAAGUAAAUUAUUUGUAAAACUUAUGCUCACUUGUAAAACUUUAAAAUCGCUAUUUGAGUCGAAGUGGCAAAAAAAACGUAUUUCUAUUAGUCGUAAAUUUCAUUUUUCCAAGGGUACAAGUUUCGGCCGAAUUCUAACUUAUAUACCUCGAUAAAAGAAGACGUAAAUACCCUAGAUGGUUUACGUGGUAUUCGCUCUCAAGCUUUACUCAAGUCGCAAGUAUAUCGAUCUAGUUCUCGAGCGUAAAUUUGGGCAGCACGCCCUUUGUAUUUACCUAUUUUCCAGCCAUUUAUGGCUUCAUUCUUUUCCUCAAUCAAUCCCAAAAUCAUACACAAAAUCAUCUCAUUUCAAUAACCAUUCCAUAGGCUCCAAGUCAUACAAGUACAAAAUCAAGCUAGGAGCAUGUGCGGAAAUGAAGGUUGAGUCAAGAAACAAAAGACAGAUUUGACGUUGUUUUGCGUAACGGACACAACUGAUGCUACGCUUAUCAGAUUGAGGUGUAAUCUAUACUGUUUCGAAGCUAAGACAGUGGGCUAAAAUUUUGAUAAAGACCACCUAGUCCAGUUUGUAGUGUAUCUAGGUCAAAGUUUUGAAUUACUAAACCAGAAGCGCACAAACGGGUCAGUUAACCGUGCUAUGUUUAAACAACAAUAACUCAGGCUACCGAAGUCCAAACGAGAUGAUUCUAGGGGCGUUGGAAAGAUAAGACAUAGCACUACAACUUUUGUGUUUUGGAUAAAUGCUAGUUCAGUAUGUAUCAAGGUGAAAAGACACGAUCAGAUUGAUAAAAUGUCAAAACUGUCCAUUGGACUAAACUUAUGGUAGUCAGGGGUAUUUUUAUCUUUUCACAGGUUACGUUGCUCGGAUUGAGUUGAAAUUUUACAGGAACCUAUAAAACAUCAUUAUCUACAACUUUUAUGUUUUAUGUUAAGCCUAAUUUGGCCUCUAACAUGAUGAACUAGAACCGGCAGAACAGGGUGCAUACUAACUUCAAUUCUGGAAAUUUGCUACAAUCAAGAUAUAAAUCUCAUUUUUAGCUUGAAACCAUCACUACCACCUCUUAUACCAACAUAUAUACAUCAUACACCAUCCAUACAACAAGUAUGAGGAGGGUAUCAUUCAAACCCUAACUCAAUUGCAUCAUUCCAAUAAUCCAAAAUCACUUGAUAUAAGCAUUAUUAUAACCACAAAUACAAGCUACUAAGCAACUCCAACAUGAUUAAAGGACAAAGAAAAGUGUGGGCAGCCAUAUUACCUCAAAACAAAGCUUGCUAGAGUUAUCCUCCACUUCCCCUUGAAAUUUUUGGUUCCUUAAGCUUCCCAAACUCCCAAACUAGUGAUUAAUCGGUUUAGUUUUUCUUGUUUUCACUCAAAAUGUUGGAUUCAAGGUUGGAAAUUGAAAGCUCUCUUCACUCUUUCUCCCUCUCUUGCUCUCGGCCAAACCAAGAAAAAUGGUGAAGAAGUGGAGUCCAAGUGAAGAUAAGAAGCAAAGAAAAUUAGCCUGGUCAAAAGUCUCUAAGUGACCAACAAGUGUCACACUUUGGUGCAUCCAAAAUUUUUUUUUCUUUUUCUUGUUUUCUUGGUCAAUAAAUUCGGCCAACAUAAUCAGAUUUUGGCUGAUUUUUAGGCUCUAAUAAUAAGGAGAUUAACUUGAUAAAAUGGUGGUCAAAUGGUGUGUUCAAUUGAUAGCCAAUUGGUAGCGAACGUUACCCGUCGGUUCUAGUCAUUUUUCCUUAAAUUGCGUAUACUAGGGUUUUAACUUACAAUUCACUAACUUAUUAUUAUCACCUCUAAUCCCACACUUAAUUUCAUCUAAAACUCACUUUUAAUCAUCACAUUUAUCGCACUAGCGGGUCCCACAUCGAUAAUGCGUUUCAAAUUUAACGUACACUAACUCAUACUAGGAAAAUGAAUUUAAAACUGUACUUGCUUGUAAAAAUGCAUAGAAAUUUUAAUAUUUCCAAGGAAAGUAUAAAAUGUAGGCAAAGAAAUAAAAUAAUGUUGAGAAAAUGUGAAAAUUUUUGGGUUCUCACAAAUAUCUUGAACUCGAAUUCGACUCGAGCCAACUAGAUAUCGAACUCGAGUCAAGCUUGACUCGAGCCGCUCGCGAGCCGAUUCAUUUGCAGUCCUACCUCCAAUAAUUAUGAGAAAAUUUUUAACUCCCAAUCUAUUAAAAGUACAAAUUUUUGGCCCUUCUGUCAAUUUUACCAAUUAUGAGUAACAGAGAAUAGCAUCACGUGCGAUGCACCAGGAAAUUGCAAGGGCAUUCUUGUCCAAAAGCUGCUGCUUCUCCCGUUCAUCUUCAAUCCCUAGCUGUAGGGGUAAGCAUCGAAUUCGAAGUCGGUAAUUCGGUAGGUUGAAAUCGGUAAUUUUCGGUAAAUGGUUCUGGAAAUAUUUGACCUAAUUCGCAUUUGAAAUAGAAAAUAUCGAAUUCGAAUUCAAUCCGAAUUGAAUUCGGUAAACGAAAAUUUACCGAUUUAACCAAAUUCAUGAAAACUGCUUCUUAGGGCAUCGAACCAGUCGGAUGGAUCUGUUAACUACUUUGGAGAUUAUGACAGUGAUAUCAUGUGCAGCAAGAAGAAGAGGUGCAGACACUCCUACGAUCUGAAUUGCUCUGCUCUGCAAUUUAAUAGCAGCGGCAAUGGAUUUUGUAGCAACUCAUGGGACAGACUGCAAUGUCUUUCACUCUGGAUUGGCAUGGGUGAGCUUCUAACCCCAUUGACUGCUGCUGGUCUUGAGGAUUGUCCCAACCUGGAGGAGAUCCAAAUCAAGGUUGAAGGAGAUUGCAGGGAAUGGUCAAAGCAUGCACAGUACCCCUUUGGGUUGAGCAAUCUGGUGCAGUAUCCUCGCUUAACCAAGAUGCAUUUGGAUUGUGGAGACACCAUAGGUUAUGCACAGAUUGCACCGUCUGGGCAGAUGGAUUUGAGCCAAUGGGAACGAUUUUACCUGAUGGGAACGAAUGCUAAUUUAGGGCAAAAGUCUGAAAUUGGAACAUCUGGACAUAAGGAUAUUAUUUCCUAAUUAACUUAAUUCGGAAUUUCAAAAUUGAAAACGGUAAUAAUUUACCGUUUUACCGAAAUAAAUUCGAAUUCGGUAAAUCCAAAUUCAAAAACUAUAAAACCAUUUUCGACCCUAAUUCGAUUCUAAUUAAUUCGAUAUUACCGAAUUACCGACCGAAUUAUCUAAUUACCAAAUUCGAAUUACCAAAUUCAAAUCGAAUUCGGUCGGUAAUUCGGUAAUUACCGUAAUUGCUCACCCCUACCUAGCUGCAGUAGAGGAAAUAGCAUUUCCCAAAAACUCAAUUUACACGCUCAUAGUUCAAUUCUUAAUAAGGGAAAGGGAAGAAAAGUAAACUAGAAAGCAGAAAUCAAGAACCAAGAAUUGGACUUUUCACCCACACCAAUAGCAGGCGAUUGUUUCAUCUUGAUUGGUCUUGGAAAUCAUUUGUAUCUUCCUAUAAAUGUAUCCAAAAUACGCCACCAUUUCUUCUCCUUAGGCUAUGAACAACAACAGCACUCAAAUGAAAAAGGUUCUACCUGCUUAUCAUCGAUAACAUGCUUAUCAAUCUUUAUCUUUUCUUUCCUCUUCAUUCUAAACUCUCUCAUCUCCAUCUCCCACGCCCUCAACUCCAAAGACCACAUCGGUUUUGCCUUCCCUUUAGGUUGUAAUAGUAAUCGCUCUCCCUUUUUUCCUCAACUCAACUCUGGAUUUGUUCAUGCAUAUCAAGAGUUUGUUUCAAUUUCCUUCAGCGAUCCUCAAUUUGCUGUUUCUUUUCGCUUUCAACGAAGAAUUUUUGUCCUUUUAUGUUAGAACAAGAUACUUUAGUGGGAUAGAAAACCAUUACUAUGAUCUCUUUCUCAUGCCAAUAGGAAUUUGUCUGUUUUGUACUAUUCUUGAACGGAAAAGUCCCAAAUCGAAUUAUGCAAGGAUGGCAUUUCCCAAAUCCCUAGGGAUUGAAGAUGGAUAGGAGAAGAAGCAAGUAAAUUUUACUCGAUUAAUACAGCCGCAUGAACAAGAAUGCCCUUGUUAUUAUCUCGUGCGUUGCACAUGAUGAUCGUCUCCGUCACUUAUAACUAUUGAAAUUCACAAAAGGGUCAAGAAUUUUUGCUUUUACUAGAUCGAUGGCCAAAAAUUUUCUUGUAAUUGUUAAAAAAUUAAAACUUUACGCAACUUUUCUCAUAAUUGUUAAAAAAUUAAAAUUUUAUGCAAUUAAAAGUUCGAAACCCAUUGAAACUUUUUUUCCUCUUAGGAAAUAAAACGUUGCUCUAUCUUAGAUUUCCUUUUCAAAUGCGGCAAUGUGUAUAAAUCUAAGCUGCAACCGUUUAUAAAAGUGCAUAGAUCCUCAACCGAACUGGCCUCAGCCCCUCAAGAGUAAGAAUAGCAAGACCAAUAAGACCAUUUGUUUGCUUGACACUUCUUUUUCUUUUUUUUUUCCUCUAGUUUUCAUCAAUUCCAUUAACCAUUUAGCUAUUAACAACCAACUUUUAGUUUUGCUCAAUGUUUUUAAAUUCGAAUUGGAGAGUGAACCGAAAAUCUUUCGAUUUACAAUUCGACCGAUUCAACCCCCAUUUAAAGGUUUAAUAAUUUUUUAUUUAUUUUAGUAUUAAAUUUUUUGAGUAAAACUAAAAUAUUUAUUUUAGAAAAUAAAAAUUUAAUAAACCCAAUUUUUAUCAGCUUUUAUCGGUUUAAUCAGGUUUGAUUGAUUCAAUUGAUUGUUUGGGCUAUUCAUUGAACCGGACCUGAGGUAUAACCAGACGAACCGGUCGGUCCGGUCCGGUUUUCAAAACGCGAUUGCUAGCCAACCGUUUGUUAGUACAUUUGAAUUAGUAUAAAACAAGAAGUAAAUGAUGAGGUGAGGCCCUUUGUAUAUUUGUUGGCUUUUAUCGGUUUAAUCAGGUUUGAUUGAUUCAAUUGAUUGUUUGGGCUAUUCAUUGAACCGGACCUGAGGUAUAACCAGAUGAACCGGUCGGUCCGGUCCGGUUUUCAAAACGCGAUUGCUAGCCAACCGUUUGUUAGUACAUUUGAAUUAGUAUAAAACAAGAAGUAAAUGAUGAGGUGAGGCCCUUUGUAUAUUUGUUGGAGGCGAGGGACUUGGUAGUGAAGGAUUCAUAUGUGUAAUUAAAAGUUGGUAAGUCUUAAGUCCAAGACAAGGGUAUUGAAGAACACGAAAUCCUAUUUGGAAUGAAGAGUUUGCAUUCAGAAUGCAUUACUUGGAGGAUGAAUUUAUUUUGUCUGUGUAUCAGUUUAAUGAAAGACUCUGGAUUCUUUAAUGUUGCUGGAGAUUUGGUGGGGCAAGGUUAUGAUUCCAGUUUGGUCUAUUGUUGUAGAGGAAAACCACAACUUCAGAUGAAAACCACAACUUGCCUCCCACUUGGUUCUCUUUUCAAAAGCGCGAUCUUGAAAUCAACCACCAACAAAGACUAUGGUAUAGCUUUGUAUGUUUUGUUAGUUUUAUUUGAUAAUUUGUACUAAUGCUUUUGUCAUUGGUGUUUUUAUGGAUUUGUUUAUGUUUAAAUUACGUGAAGUAGACAUACUGCCUAAUCCGGAGUCAUUUAAUGGUUAUGGCUUCUUGAUCUGGACCUCAAGAGCCAAGAACUUGAAUUUUUGGAUAAUAGCUAUAGUUAACUACAUGAUGACAAAUAAUGAUUGAAAUAAUGAGAGGAUUUCUAAGUGGCAUUUCUUUCCUAUAGAAGAAUUUUGGUGCUUCCUGUGUUGAAUUUUUUAGGUCAGUUUGCAUAAAUGAAACUUGAAAAUGGCCUUUAGGAAUGUUAGGACCAGUUCGAGGAGUCCACUUUCAUGUGUGGUUCUAUAAUUACAAGAAUUAGGAGGCCUUAGAUGGCUUGCUCACAUUUUUACCCCUUUUGAGGUGUCAAUUUGGUUUUGACGAAUUGGUUAAUUAGAAUAUCGAUUAGAAAAGUUAAGAUAAGUAAAAUGGCCUCGUCCUCAAUUCUGCAUGGUUUGUUUCCAGCUGUACUCAGAUUUAUGAAAUUCGAUAAUAGGGUAUUCAAGUUUAUUUGUGAUGAAUUUGACGAGAGUCAGAAUACCCAAUGACAGAUUGGGUAUAUCUUAAAUAUUAAAGUGAGAUUUUCUGCAAUACUCAGGCAAGGUGGCUUUUUUUUUUCCUUCUUGUUUGGUUGAGCUACCUUGUUGACUAGUAACAUGUUUGGCUGCAGUAUAAAAGAGAUUAAAGGAGGUACUUUUUCUUGAUAUAGUUCUCUUUUUCUUGAUUUGUACGAGGGAACAAGUGAGUUUGGGAAAGGUUAGAUUACAGAGUUAAGAAUUACAAUUGCCCUUGUGAUACUAAAGGUUGAGUGGUUAUUAAGAGAGCUCAAUGCAGAUAGCUGAGAAAAAGUGUUAGUCAAUAUUAUCAGUCUGCGCAAAUAACUACAGCGUGGGGGCUUAUUUUUUCUAGGCUCCCCAGCUUUUCAGAAUGUUUAAAAAAGAGGUCCAAACGUGAUAUGCUUUCUAGCUGUAGUUAGUUGAUUCUUUGGAGAAUAUGAUGGUGCAAAAUGCACUUCUUUGUGCUUAAUACAGAAUCUAAGUUUUCCUCUACUCCUGUCCCAUUCAGUCCAUUCCUUGAAGGUCAGUGUUGCCAUCUUAUGACCUGGUAGGUUCAUUGAGACCUCCUGAUAUGAGCAGGCUGCAGCAGGCAUUGAACUGGCUCUCUGCCUUCAUCUAGCUUGUAGCUGUACUAGACCAUGUGCAAAGUUCCUUUUAGCAGAAGUAGCAUUAUUCAAGCUCUGAACCAACUCUCACCAAGUUCUUUUAGAUUGGAUAGGAAUCAUCUCCAUAAACAGAACUGAUGUUGAUGACUCUUGGCCUUCUUAGCCUUUCAUAUCAGGAAUUCAGCAAAUGUGUGCAGUUUGAGUAGCAAAAUCCCUAAAGCAGUUGUUGUGAUACAAGUAUAUGGAUACUGUUGCACAUUAUAGGCCUUGUUGUAGGUUCAACUCUGUGAUAUUUUCUCUCUCUGCCUGGAGCUGGAAGUAAUGAUCUUUUAUGAUCAAUGGUCAUUUUGAAAUGGAUGGACUGCAUGGUGAUCAGAUAAGAGGAGCUUGUAAUCCUUAUAUUAGCUGAGUAUCAUGGUCCCAUAGACAUUCUGCAAAACCAUUUAAAAUGCAUAUGACCCUUUUGUUUGCUUUUCCAUUUUCUAGCUGUUUCUGCGUUCUGCUUAAUAGUCUGUUUAUUUGAAAUGUUUCCUUUACACAUAUUUGUUUUCUUAAUAUUACAGAUAAAUGUCCUGCAAUAGCAACUUCAUUGCAGUUCUCCUAGUGUCUCCUGUCAUAUCUGUUUAAAUGAUUUUCAAAGAUUUGAUGCUUCUAAGCAGUACCGAUAAAUAAGGGGAAGUAAUUUUUUCAUAGAAUUAUUUGGCAAUGUCUUGCUUAGGAAUGCUUAAUGGGCAGUAAAAAGGAGAUUGAGUCGAUUUAAUUGCCUCUCCCAUUGAACAUAAUAACAUUUUAUACACCAAUUAUACAGUUGUAUUUGACUUUACCUUAUGAAUGCAGGUAAAUUUCUUCUGAUACUGGCACUGUAUAGGAGAGGUGUGCAAGUAUGCGGUGACCAUCUCUUGUAUGUCAUCAAAGUUGCAGAGCUGAAAACACCGAUGAGUAUGGAGAUAAAUGUGUUUCAUCUGAAGAUGUUUUUAGGUGUACUCCGACAAGGAAGAUAUUAGAAGGGAAACAUCUAGUGAAGGUUAUUGCUGGUCGCUUACAGAGGCUUUUCAAUAAAAAUGAAGAAGCAUCAGGGACUGACAAUUCUUCUGAGCUGUCAACUACCAUUUCUGUUAAAAAAGAUAACUUGGCUCAGCCGAACAGUAACAGUAGCUUUGAAGAGCUGAUUAAAAUGCUAAAGUUAAGCAAUGAUGAAAAAGACAUACCAAAGAACCCAGAGGGUGGCAACCUUUUGGAUCAACCAUAUGCAAUGCCACCUGAAGAUCUCAACAUGCUUCUGUUUACUCCUAAGUCACAAUUAAUGAGAGAUCUUGCAGAAUUGCAGGGAACAACAGAUGUUCAAGAGGGCCCUUGGACAUGGAAAUCAGCAGACAAAUCAUGUUUAGUGCGAGUUAUUACGUACACCAAAGCAGUAACAAAAUUAGUAAAGGCUGUGAAAGCUACUGAAGAGCAAACUUAUAUAAAGGCCAAUGGGAAAGAAUUCAUUGUCUUUGUAGAUGUUAAUACUCCUGAAGUUCCAUAUGGAAAUACAUUUAAGGUUGAUCUACUUUACAAGAUAACUCCAGGGCCGAAGCUAUCUUGUACAGAAAAAUCUGCUCAUCUUGUCGUAUCCUGGGCCAUAAACUUCCAUCAAAACACUAUGAUGAAAGGCAUGAUUGAAGGAGGAGCCAGGCAAGGAUGGAAGGAGAGUUUUGAACAGUUAUCUGACUUGCUAGCUAAAAUUCUCAAAGUGAUUAAUCCUAUAAAUGUAUCAGAUUGCAUACGAUAGCAACUUUGCAGGAGCACCAGUCAAAUUGGGAACUGGCAGCUGAAUAUUUUUUGGAAUUGUACUAUGGUUUAGGCAUAUUCAUGGUUCUAUAUAUUGGUUUUCACAUCUGGCUUUGUGGAGAGCUCUAGCUCCAAGGCUUAGAAUUUGAUGGUCUUGAUUUACCUGAUAGUGUGGGGCAAAUUAUUAACUUUGCAAUUUUAGUCAUCCAACUUGAGAAUGCUUAUAACAUGGUAUCACAUUUUUGUGCAAGCAAGGCUAAAAUGAGGUAACAGUUCACAAAGCAUAUCACUUUAUAUCAAAUGUAUAUCAUGUUUAGUAGUUUAACUGAAAAUCACAUGAUUAACAGGAAGUAAUCGUGGAGUCAAAAUGCAAGGGGAUGGUUGGGUGCUUAUAAUAGCUUUGAUUGAGGGUGUGGAUCUAGCUUCUUUAGAUUCAACUGAAUUACCAGAUCCUUAUGUGUUAUUUACCUGUAAUGGCAAAAUAAGGACAGACUCUGUGCAGCUGCAAACUGUCGAUCCUCAGUGGAAUGGUUUGAUCCUCUACUAAAUCUCGUUAUUGUGUACUCUAACUAGUAAUCAAAUCAUGGUACUGUGACAACCUUUCAUCUGAUACAAUGUGCAGAAAUACAUGAGUUUGAUGUUUCAGAAGAACCACCUUCAGUGCUGGAUGUGGAAGUUUUUUAUUUUGAUGGUCCAUUUGAUCAAGCUUCCUCUCUUGGCCAUGCUGAAAUUAAUUUUUUGAAGCAUACGUCUACAGAAUUAGCAGACAUAUGGAUUCUCCUAGAUGCAAAACUUGCUCAAUCUUCUCAGUCAAAGUUGCACCUGAGAAUUUUUUGGACAAUACUAAUGGAGCUAAAACAAUAAGAGACUAUUUAAACAAGAUGGAAAAGCAAGUAGGAAAGAAGGUAAUAAGGUUUCAUAGUGUCACAGAUUUCAUCUUCUAGACCUUUUGAAAUUAUAUGUUGUUGUAAAUUUUAAAAGAAAAGGAAAAUGAACAAAAAACUCUACUUUUCUUUAUUUUCCCACACCCUAAAAUAUGCUUACAAGGUAAGCAUUUAUAGGACAACCCUAUCAUAGUUCUGCCACCACUUAAGGUAAUAGAACCAUGAUUUUAGGGAUUACAUAAUCAACUCAUAUCCUAUCUAUUCAAACUUGAUUGAUCAUAAGCAAUAAAAUCCCAUAAUCAUGGGAGGUAAUAUCUCUCAUAAUCAUGGGAGAUAAUUAUGGAAGAUAAUAUCUCCCAUAAUCAUAGGAGAUAAUAUCUUCGACACCCCCCCUCAAGUUGGUGCAUAUAUAUUUAUCAUGUCCAACUUGCUUGUAAGAAGUUCAAAGUUUGGUCUGAGGAGUCCUUUGGUGAGAAUGUCAGCUAUCUGCUGAGCUGAUGGAACGAAUGGCAUGCAGAUAAUUCCUCCUUCAAGUUUCUUUUUUAUGAAGUGGCGGUCAAUCUCAAUAUGUUUGGUUCUAUCAUGUUGCACAGGAUUAUGAGCUAUGCUAAUUGCCGCCUGGUUAUCACAAUAGAGCCUCAUUGGUAGUUCAAUAGGUCUUUUUAGCUCCUCUAAAACUCUCUUCAGCCAUAACAUCUCACACACACCAUGAGCCAUAGCUCGGUACUCUGCCUCUGCACUACUACGAGCUACAACACUUUGUUUCUUACUUCUCCAAGUAACCAAAUUGCCCUAUACAAAGGUACAAUACCCCGAGGUUGAUCUUCUAUCAAUGACUGAUCCUACCCAAUCAGCAUCUGUAUAAGCUUCAAUGGUCUUUCGAUCUCCUCUUUUAAAGAACAAUCCCUUUCCUGGAGUACUUUUUAAGUACCUCAGAAUUCGAUAUACUGCAUCAAGGUGCUCUUCAUAUGGAGAAUGCAUAAACUGGCUCACAACACUCACUGAAAAAGCUAUAUCAGGACGAGUGUGAGCCAAGUAAAUUAGCUUGCCUACUAACUUUUGGUAUCGAGCAGUAUCAACUGGUGUUCCAUCUUUUAUAUCUGCUAACUUGUGAUUCGGAUCCAUAGGAGUGUCUGCAGGUCGACAUCCACUCAUCCCUGUUUCCUUUAAAAGAUCCAAAACAUACUUGCGUUGGGACACAACCAUGCCCUUCUUGGACCGAGCUACCUCCAUCCCUAAGAAAUAUCGUAGUGUUCCCAAAUCUUUGAUUUCAAAGCUAGAAAAAAGACUUUUCUUCAGCCGUUCCAUCUCAAUUAAGUCAUCUCCUGUGAGGAUGAUAUCAUCCACAUACACAAUGAGUACUGCUAUCUUGCCGUCCUUGGAGUGUUUAACAAACAUGGUGUGAUCACUCUGAGCUUGGGUAUAGCCUUGAUCCUUUACCGACCUAGUAAAUUUUUCAAACCAGGCCCUAGGAGAUUGUUUGAGACCAUAUAACGAUUUUUUUAGCUUUCAAACUCUAGACUGAAACUUCCCUUCAAAUCCAGGGGGAGAAUCCAUGCACACCUCUUCCUCCAGAUCACCAUUUAAAAAUGCAUUUUUGACAUCAAGUUGUUGGAGUGGCCAAUCAAGGUUUACUGCUAUUGAGAGAAGCACCCUAAUAGUGUUUAAUUUUGCCACUGGAGCAAAAGUUUCAAGAUAAUCGAUCCCGUAGGUUUGAGUAAAUCCUUUAGCCACCAAUCGAGUUUUGUACCGUUCCAAUGUCCCAUCGGAAUUAUACUUGAUGGUAAAGACCCAUUUACACCCUACUGUUUUUUUCCCUUGUGGCAGGUUUGUUACUUCCCAUGUUUGAUUCUUCUCAAGAGCAUACAUCUCUUCUUCAAUAGCCUUUCUCCACUCUGGAACUUGUAAUGCUUCCUGUACAUUCUUUGGAAUUUCCACAGAAGAAAGUUGUGAAGUAAAUGUCAAGAAAGUAGGGGAUAACUUUUCAUAAGAGACAUAGUUAGUCAUAGGGUGUUUGAUACAAGAACGCGCUCCCUUUAGAAGUGCAAUAGGAAGAUCCAAAUCAGCAAUCUUUGAAUCAGAGGAAACUUUAUCUGAUGACUCAAAAACAUCAAAUUCUGCCCUCGGUUCGGAUUCCUUGUUGUGAAGAGAAGGGGGAGCUUUAUCUUUUCCUCGAUGAUUUUUCCUGACAUAGGUUUUCAGGGUUUUUUCAGUUAUAUUCCCAUCUCUUUCACUAAGAGAAUUCGACUCUGUUAUUGGCACUAUAAACAAGAGAUCCUCUUCAAAUCCCUGAUCAAUUUUUUCACGUUUUUCAAAAUCCUUUUGACGGGCAAAUUGAAGAGUGUCAUUUGAUUUUUCAAGAUUAUUAUCUUGAAAAGAUUCUUGUUGAGGAAAUUGUGCUGUAGAUUCUUCUAAAAAAUCAGAAAAAUUUUGAUCAGGAAUUUGAUUUUCAAUACGAAAAACAUCAUCAUCUUCUACAAGUUCUUCUACAUGCCGAGUCCCCCCCCCCCUGAAGAGGAUCUCUAAAGAAAGGUUUAUCUUCAAAAAAUGUUACAUCCAUGGUUACAAACAUUUUUUUCGAAAUGGGGUCAAAGCAUUUAUACCCCUUUUGCGUGGGUGCAUAUCCAACAAAAAUGCAUUUCCUUGCUCGAGGGUCUAACUUGCUUCGACCUUGUUCAUGAUUGUGAACAAAGGCUAUGCACCCAAACACCUUUAAUGAGACUUCAUAUGUUAAUCGAGACAUGGGAUAAAUUGUUUUGAAAAAAUUCAGAGGAGUUUGGAAAUUCAAGGUUCUUGAGGGCAUUCUGUUUAUGAGAUAUGUAGCAGUUAAAAUUGCUUCGCCCCAUAGAUAUUUAGGAACAUUUCUUGAAAAAAGUAAUGCCCUCGCCACUUCUAAAAGAUGUUUAUUUUUUCUUUCAGCUACCCCAUUCUGUUGUGGGGUAUCAUUGCAGGAGCUUUGAUGCACAAUCCCUUUUUCAAGAAAAAAACUUCCUAAAAUUUUAUUGAAAUAUUCUUUUCCAUUGUCACUCCGAACAAUUUUGAUUUUUUCUUGAAAUUGUGUCAAAACCAUGCUGUAGAAUUUUUGAAACACACUUGCAUCCUCUGAUUUCUCUCUUAACAAAUACACCCAACAAACUCUUGUGUGAUCAUCGAUGAAUGUAACAAACCAUUUUUUUCCAAAUGAAGUUGAAAUUCUAGAGGGACCCCAAACAUCAGUAUGUAAUAGAAAAAACGGUUUUGAGGGUUGAUAAGGAUGUAUAGAAAAUGUAGACCGAUGAUGUUUAGCCAAUUCGCAGAUUUCACAUUGAAAGGAAGAUGAAUCUUUAUUCUUAAACAAAUCUGGAAAUAAGUAUUUCAUGUAAUAAAAACUAGGAUGUCCUAGUCUAAAGUGCCAUAACAUAAUCUCUUUAUUACUAGUAAUAGAGACGGACCCGUAACAUGUGUUUUUGAUUGGUGUUGUCAUAUUUGAUCCAUCUUCAAGGAGGUAAAGUCCCCCAUUUUCUCUAGCACAUCCAAUCAUCCUCCCCGUGGUCAGUUCCUGAAACUCACAAAAAGAGGGGAAAAAAUUAAUCCGACACUUGAGAUCCCUAGUUAAUUUACUUAUGGACAGCAAAUUGCAUGAUAACUUUGGAACAUGAAGAACUCUAUGAAGUGUUAUAGUAGGAGAGAUGACAACGGAACCUAUGCCAGCUAUGACGGAUAAUGAUCCGUCAGCAACCUUGACCCUUUUAUUGCCUGCACAUGGACUGUAGGUAGAAAAUAAUUGUGACAAACUAGUCAUAUGGUCAGUGGCUCCAGAAUCAAUAACCCAUACAAUCUGUGGACAAGAUGCAUUUGAUGUAUUACAUGAAAGAGCAAUAGUAAAACGAUUACCAUUUUUAGCAAAAGAACAAAAAGGAGUGAAGCUUUUUGUCUCAGUGACUGAAAAUUGUGGAGACUUAAAGAGUUUGUACAGUUGGCUUAAUUGUUCCUUUGUGAAGGCUGGUGUCUCAGAGUCAGUUUGUUGCUUUUGAGAAUCCUCAUUCACAGUCUGCAAUACCUUGCUAUCACCUCCAUUUUUCUUCUUGAAAUUCGAUGGUUUCCCAUGUAAUUUCCAGCACGUGUCCUUUGUGUGCCACGACUUUUUACAGUGUUCACACCAAGGCUUCCUUCUUUUAUCUCCAUCCAAAUCUGUCCCCUUCGAAACCAAUGAUGAAGUCUCAACUUCAUCCUCUGCCUUGGACUUUAGCAUCACCUUACGCCUUGAUUCUUCUCUUCUGACCUCAGAAAAUACUUCACGAAUGGAGGGGAGAGGCUUCCUGCCCAAAAUACGACCUCGCACCUCAUCAAGUUCUUGAUUUAGUUCGGCCAAGAAGACAUAGACUCUGUCGUUCUCCUCCCGUUUCUUGUAUCGAACACUGUCUACACGGCAAUCCCAUUCAUCCUCAUAACAAAGAUCCAAUUCCUACCAUAAAGUUACCAUCUGAUUGUAAUAGGUUGUAACAUCUCUAUCUUCUUGUCUUGAUUUCCACAAUUUCGUCUUGAGAUUGAAAAUUUGAGACGAAUUCUCUAUAUCGGAAUACAUGUCCCGGACAGCGUCCCACACAUCCUUGGCUGUGGGCAGAAAUAAGUGUGGCUUUCCUAUCGCUGGUUCCAUAGAGUUUAUCAACCAAGCGAUAACUAGAGAGUUCUCUGAAUGCCAUCUCUUCAAAUUGGGAUCUUCAGCAGCUGGUUGUUGAAUUUCUCCAGUAAGGUGGCCGAGUUUACCUCUGCCAUCGAUAGCCAGUUUUACGGAUUGAGCCCAUUCCAGAUAAUUGGAACCAUUUAAUUUAUGAACGGUUAUUUGUAGAGAAGAAUUUGAAGCGGAGUAAUCUGUAGUUUGGAUAACUACUGAAGACGAGGAUGAGUCUUCUCUUGUGUGAGCAGUCGAUCCAGUCAUGGCUGCUCGGUAGUUCAUGGCAGGAAUUGGUACAGAGCCGGAGCUCUGAUACCAUGUAAAUUUUAAAAGAAAAGGAAAAUGAACAAAAAACUCUACUUUUCUUUAUUUUCCCACACCCUAAAAUAUGCUUACAAGGUAAGCAUUUAUAGGACAACCCUAUCAUAGUUCUGCCACCACUUAAGGUAAUAGAACCAUGAUUUUAGGGAUUACAUAAUCAACUCAUAUCCUAUCUAUUCAAACUUGAUUGAUCAUAAGCAAUAAAAUCCCAUAAUCAUGGGAGGUAAUAUCUCUCAUAAUCAUGGGAGAUAAUUAUGGAAGAUAAUAUCUCCCAUAAUCAUAGGAGAUAAUAUCUUUGACAGUUGUCUACAUGAUCUGUCUGUGGCAGUUAAACCUCCAAUCACCACACAGAAAUUCAGCAUUCCAAAAGAUUUUUGGAUUGCCACCUAAAGAGUAUCUCAUUAGUGAUUUUUCACGCUCCCUUAAGAGAAAGAUGCCAUUGCAGGUAAGGUUGCAAGGAUCUUGUUUAUAUUGCUUUCAUCAAAUUUUUUUUUUUUCUUUCAUUACCAUUAGUAGGACGGAGAACUAAUAAAUAUUUAUACAGGAGACAAAGUUUUAUUGGUGGACGUCUGGUUGAUUUCUGAAAUAUUUAUCUUAAUCUCCUCGCCAUUUUUAGUUUGACAAGACACAAAAGGAAAUGCAAAUGCAUCUAACAUUAUACUUUAUGGAUUAGUGGAUGUAAAUUUUCUAAUUGAUAAAAGUGAUGUCUAUAAUGAUGUCUUGCAGUUUUAGAAUUAGCUUUUAUUUUUACUUUAUUGGACUGCUCCCAAUAAAAUGUAGAAGUUUUGGCUUUGAUGGUUCUGUGGUUUCUGAUCCAUGUUAGCCAUGAUGGAGGUCGUAAAUAUUCAUUGUUGAGGAAAUGGUGGUGAAAAAUCCUGAUGGAGAUCCUAAAUGUUAAAUAGCUGUAUUUUUUCUUCUUCUCUUAUUUCCAUUGCGGCAGGCCAUCUCACUCUACAUUUUCUCAGUUUUUGCCUGUCUCUACCUCUAUUCUGAGCAAGACCAAUACUUGGUCCAGGGACAGCUCUUUCUAUCAGCGAGAAUUGUUGGAUUCUAUGCCAACUUGUUUGGGCAUAAAACCUAGUUUUUCAUUCCUUUUCAUUCCAUGGGAGAACAUUGAACAUAUUCAUGAGCUUUUCCCAUCACUAGGAACAGUAGAAAGUCCUUCACUUGUCAUAAUCUUGUCUAUGCGUCGUGGUAAUGAUGCUAGAAGGCAGGCUGCAUUUCUAUUUUCAUUCAUUCAUUUCCUUCAACGUUGCCAGCAGGUAUAGGCAGUGCAUGUGCUCUUGUGAAUUUUCAUAGUGGAUUGUUUUGAUCUUUCUUUGUUACGAACCAGAUCCAGUGAUCAAAAUUGAGUGAACGCUAACAGGACAGUAAUGGUUGUGUGGACAAAGAGAAAAUUAGGUCCUGAUCAGAGAGCACAGAUUGCAGAGGAACAGCAGGACAGAGAUUAGAAGCUUAGUUUGCUUGAAGACUUCGAUCCUAUUUGAUUGUCCAAGAUGCUAGAUUGGCCAAGGUUUUAAGUGUGGAACUUCCUGUGAAUGUAUGUAUCUCAUUCUUUGUGCUUAAAACCAUAUAAUCCAUCGCAGGUGCUUAUAUUAAAAUUUUGUUCUUUUUGCUUAAUAAGAUUUAUUAGAUAAAAGUUCAUAGAGUGUCAUGAGAUUCUGUUGAAUUUGUAUAUGUAUAUCAGCCCUGUGGCAAGAUUAUAUAUGUUAAUCAUUGUUAAACUUUGUAAGUUGUUCCAAUAGUACUUGAAGCUGGAAAGUAAUAAAAAAAUGUUUGCAACAAGAAACAAGUUCCUCAAUAUGUGGCAACAAAACUGCUCCCCCAAUGCCAUAACUGGUCCUUGAAAGUGUCUAAGUUACAAUAUUAUUUCGCAACCUCUCUCUUGGCAGAUCCAACUGAUAACCUUCUUCAGAAACCAGCUCAACAAAGAAGCCUUAGGAAAAUGUUCUGAACAUAAUCUUCAAGCUGAGGUAGCUGCAUGGAGUAGUGAACUUGAAAUGGGGCUGCUGCGGAAGAUAGAUAAGCGAGUCACCCAAGGGACAGACACAGAAUCUAUCAAAGUGGAUCAACCUCACUCACUGAUUUCUGAACCUCUUGCUUAACAAUAGGAGGGCAAACUGAGAGGCCAGGCUCCCGAGUACCUGACACGUAAACAGUAAAGUCAUGAUCAGUGCCUGUAGAGAUGCAGAUUGAUAUCAUGAUCAGUGGCAAUGUAGGAGACCCUAUCAAGAAACCAGAGGGGGAAAAUAGGAGAGGAGGGAAAUUCAAUCUAGAGGGAGGCAGCUAUUGAAGGACAUUACUGGGAAAAUUAGUGACCAGGAUGCUAAGAUAAAGAGGAAACUCAUGCUCAGAGAUUAGAAGAUGGCGGAUGUUGAACCUAGCACUCAAGUGUUUAAGAAGUGCAAAACUCCAGAGCCUCUAAGUUGGGAACACAAUGCAGAGACGGUGUUUUGGGAAGGGGGGGUGGUGAGGAUCAGCCUUAGCUGUGAAUCCCGUUGUAACUGUGAAUUUCGUUAUAACAUACUAGUUGUUCUUGGAGGAUGUCUUGGAAUGGUUUGCCAUGCAUUUUGGGGUAACUAUCAUCACACUGACGUUUGGGUGCUGAAAGAGUAUGGAAUGCCGGAAUCUUGGACUAAAUAUCGUGUUGCCAUACCUCAAGAUGCAUAUUCAUUUGUACCUAAUUGUCAAUUCGGGAAUCAGGGGGUUGUUUUGCUAAAGGAUAGCCUGAAAUUGAUUUUGCAUAAUUUGAAGAAGGAAACUUCGAGGGAUAUGGUGGUUGCUGGCAUGCUGGAUGCACUUCCAAAUAAAAUAAUGAACUUUUCUGAGAACCUUGUUUCACCCAGUUGCUCUGGCUGGGAUGGAAAGCAACAACCAGGAGGAUAAAAGUUAAAUUUUGAUGCUCGAUGAGGUAAAACUUUCAAGUCUAUUGAUUCAUGUGACCUUGCUUUUAUCUGGAGUAGUCAUCAAAUAUUAGGCAUUAUAUGUAUAGAUGACUACAUAGUUAUCUCAUACACUUCUUCAGAAAAGCUUGGAUAUCGUAUUGAUUUAAGUUAUGGUAGAUCCAAACACAUAGACAAAUUAAAGUAGAUCUACUGCAUUUCAGCUAAAUUCAUUGAACCAAAAGUAUUUUAACAGCGAAAUGCCUACUUAGCAUUUUGGCUCUCAGUCAGGUGAAUAUUUUAAUUGCUGUUUCAUUGGAGGACAAUUAGAUUCUUUUUGUAGCCACUUCAAGUUAUCAAGGUGAUUGCUAUCUCUCAAUGCUUUGCCCCAAAAGACGAAAAGAAAGCUAAAAGUUGUUUUUCUAUCUUGGAUUGAUGGGACCAUGUCCAUUUGCAGAUUCAUCUUCGUGUAGAAGUCAUUCUACCAGAUGUUUUCGCACUUUUUUUUUUAUAUUUCAGGUUGAAUUAUAGAAGCAUCUGUUUUACUUAAUUUCUCCUGUUUUUGGAUAUUCAAUCAGCUCAAAAGUAGUAUCAAGGUGCAUCCUUGAACCAAGUUUGAGCUGCUCUAGAUUAGGUGAAUAUCUUGCCUGACUUCCUGAAUGUCAAGAUAUGCCUGACUAAAGAGUGCAAAUAACCACGAGAAUUUGUCUUGCAGAAUACAGAGGUUCAGUUUCUGAAUGGGGGUUUCCAUUUCAUUUUAAUCUUCCUGAUAACAUUAACUUUGUAAGCAUAUCUGAACAUUAACUUCGUAAGCAUGUCUGAACAUUAACUUCGUAAGCAUCUCUGAAGCAUUUCUUGGUGUUUUAAUUGAUUGACUCAGUCGAAAUAAAGACUUUCAAUUCAGCAUGCAAAAGAAUAUUUUGCUGAUUUUUUAUUGAGAUAGUAUUGAAGAGUUUAGGAGAUGAAGGUCACAUAAAGGGGUUCUAGAAAUUGAAUGACUUGCUGUUGAGAAUGCAUUUGGCCUAUAAAGAAAUUGAAUGACUUACUAAUGUCAAAGUUAAUGUUCUUUUAUCUCUUUCUUUUCUGUUGAUGUCCAAGUUAUUAUCUCUCCUUCAGAUUUCCUUUAUUUGGUGAUGCAGCAUAUGCCAGUUUUAACGGAUGUUAUUGAAAGAAAAUGAGUUCAAAGCAAACUCUGAAUACUAGAUAUGACCUCAAAAUAAUAGCGGUCAAGGUCGGCCAGUAAGACGAUGGGGGAUAAGCUUUGUCGUCGAGAGGGAAAUAGCUCGGAUCACCAGCUAAGGCCCCUAAAUGACUGCUUAGUGAUAAAGGAGGCACGGGUGCAGAGUCAGAUAGCCAGGAGGUUUGCCUAGAAGCAGCCACCCUUGAAAGAGUGCAUAAUAGCUCAAAUAAGAUGGCUUCUACUGUAUGCUGGUCAAGUUGAAGGCAAGUCAGUAACCUAGGUUGUGUCUGGCAUUAGAAUGCGUUCACUAAUCAAACACGCUGAACAACUUUCUUAUGCCAGCAAAUCGAGCAUUUUACUCCUUGAUGUAUCUUUUAAAUCCAGUGUCCUAUUUUUUCCUUUUGCAUUCAGAUUUUCUCAUUAUUUUCAUAUGCUUGAGUUUUCUUAUGUAUCUAAGAGAUUCAUGAUUUCAAUCAGCACAGCUCCGCACUAAAACUAAUUGGUUUACCCGUCCAUGGAUAUGAAUCUUUUACUAUGGCAAGUUGGUGAAAUAUGCAUUUCCAUGGGUUUUGCCCUCAUUCAGUGUAAUGUAUGAUGGUCGUAACCUUUAUGGCAGGUACUUGCAAGAAAUUUAUACAUAGAAUUGCUUUUCCUUCUUUCCUCAGUUAUCAGGUUCCUUUAUGAGAUUUCACCGACUUAUAAAGCUCUGCAGCAUUUGCUUGCUUCCAUUUUGCAUUGUAUGUAUGACCAGAUGAGAAAGCACCGUACAUGUUUGCUUUGAUGCAGCUGCAUUGGUCAGCACAUCCUACAGAGAAACAUUAUGAAGCAGGGACAGAACUACAAAUUGCUUCAAUGUCCUGAUUAUGAAGUAUAUGGAGAUUCACCAUGCGUGCUGCAGAUGUGGAUUUACAUUGACCGAAACUUAAAAGAAUGAACAAUGCUACUUUGUAGUAACACUUGUGCGGGAACUUGAUAAUCGAGUCACAACGUCCGUCAACUUCUUCCACAAUACUUUUUCUGUUUGCACUUGAAUUUGAUGUUUUCGUCACUCUCAACUCUUUUGUAGAACGGCAAAUUUAUGCUGCAUUAACCCUCCAGUAGGAAACUUGGGACCUAGUACUGUGCUCAACAGACUAACAUGCCCACAUAUCCUAGUAGUAAACUUGGCAAAUUUAUGCUGCAGUAGCAUUCAACCACCAGUAGGAAACUUGGGACCUAGUACUGUGCUCAACAGACUAACAUGCCCACAUAUCCUAGUAGUAAACUUGGCAAAUUUAUGCUGCAGUAGCAUUCAACCAUAGCUAGCAUACAGCCACCAGAUAAAAACUUGAUUGGGACAGAAUGUAAUAUUACACGGCUAAUGCUCACCAAUUGACCACUCUUUAUACGUGGGGGCGUUUGUACUCGUGAAUUCGAAGGAUUCAUCUAAUCCAUCUUGUCUGUGCCCCCCAAGUGGAAAAUGUGGCAUAAUCCUAUAUGUUGCUACACUAAAAUAAAUAAAAAUUACCAAAUCAGAUGCACCUUAAACAAAUAAAAAACCGAGUCCACAGUUCUAUCGCUCAUUAUCUCUAACCUGCUAUCUUUGACUGAACUACAAAAAUGUGCUCAUAAUAGCCAUAUCUUACACGUCGUCCCAACUUUGCGCCCUAAUCUGAAUUUCAAGAGUAUGCUAUUUAAGCUGCACUUUUAAGAAAGGUCACAAGCAAUUUUGUCCCCUUUGAAGCUUUGGACAUCUGGCUUUCAAGGACCACCCUUUAUCAGUAAAUUAAAUUACAUCUGACUUUGAUGUGUAGGCGUGAUACAUGAGUAUCUACAAUCUGAUUAUAAAGCACUUUAGAAAGGAAUUACUGCAUCUCUAUCUCACCAGAAAUUCUGUCAAGAUCUCAAAGAAAAAGGAAAAACACAGCAGCUAUGUCGGAUUAUACUCCAAUUUUGCCCCAAGAACUCAUCACCGACAUACUCUUGCGCCUCCCUGGAAAAUCCAUAGGCCAGUUCAGGUGUGUUUCUAGGCCAUGGCUCUCUUUACUCUCCGACUCACAUUUCAUCAAAUCCCAUUCAACACUCCUGAGCAGCCAUGACCCGGGAAAGUUCAUCCUCGUUUCUGACUCUGAUCACACCCUUCACACAAUAACUUUAACUCCCAGCACCAGCACCAGCAGCAACACCAGCAGCAGCCGCCAAGAUGCCGUUGCAAGAAAGAUCAGUUUUCCACAGUGCCCAGACAAGUGGGAAACAGUGGUGGGUUCAUGCCAUGGUUUGGUCUUAGUACGAACUGAUGAACGUAGCUUGUAUUUGAUCAACCCCACAACUUUGGAGAGAGUAAAAAUCCCAAGUUUUCCUUUGGCUUUGGACCCUUCUGCUAGUUUUAGCAUGCACGGAUUUGGCUAUGAUGAUUGGACCGAUGAUUAUAAGAUUGUUACGCUUUCAUACUAUGACACGGACAAUGAACACGAGCCUGAUUGUGCUGAUACUUUUGUUGAUGUUUAUAGUGUAAAGACAAGAACUUGGAAGAGAUUUGAUCCAUCUCCUUGUGAUCAUGCUGUUCCUGAUCUUGCCUCAGGGGUAUUCCUCAAUGGGGGUCUUCAUUGGUUGGCUUCUGAUAGAUCUGAAGGCUAUCCAUCUGUUAUUGCUGUUUUCCUUUUGGAUGGCGAGGAUUUUGAGGAAGUGCCACCUCCUAGUAGUCUUGAUAGAGGUAAAUUUGUGUUUAACAAGCUCGUGGUUCUUGAAGGAUGUCUUGGAAUUGUUGUCGAUAAUUAUAAUGAUCAGGUAGAUGUUUGGGUAAUGAAACAGUAUCGUGUCCAAGAAUCCUGGACAAAGUUUACUAUUAAUGUACAUGAAGAUACUGAUAUGCUUAAACCUAUAUGUAAAUUGCGGGACGAGGAGAUUGUUUCGGAGAAGGAUGAGGAGAAGUUGGUUUUGCAUAGUUUGAGAGACGGGACUUCAAGGGAAAUGGUGGUUGCUGGUCUUCCAGAUACGUUUGAACAUGGAGUGAUGACCUUUUCGGAGACCCUUCUGUCACCAAAUUUCUAUAGUCUGAAUGCAGAAAUGCAUAAUUCUGAGGGCCAAAUUGAAGCUUGAUGCUGUACAAGGUAAAACUUUCAACUUCUAUGACUUGCUUUUAUCCUAGAUUUGUCAUGAAGGAUUAGCAGUACGUUAAUGACUUGAUAGUUGUCCAAUGCCCUACUGAGGAGAGCUUGGAUAUGUAUUGGUUAAACUUUUACUAAUAGUUGCAAUCAAAUUAACUCCACUUUAGAUCAUUCAUGUAUAGCACUCUGAAAAGGAGAAAGGAAAUUAAUAUAGAAGUACUUGAUAGAAGUUCUGCUUGUACAUGUGAAUAUCCUAUUUGGCUUUGAGGUUAUACAGUUUGGUGAUACUAUAAUGAAUUAAUCAUUUUAUGGAGGACCAAUUGAUUAGCAUACAGAUUUGGAAGACUAUUGGUUUCUUUGUGAGGCUGGUGCAUGUUAAGCAAGGCCAUUUGCUAAUCGCUGAUGCUUUAAUGCUAAACUUGAAAAAGAAAGCUUGAGAACAAAUGGGUACUGAGAAGAUGAUCAAAUUUGUCUGGAGAAACCACAAAGCAUGAAGCCGCAAAUUAGGAUUUCAUAGGUAAUCUUCACUGUAUGUCACUUAUGCUGCAUAAGUAAAAUCCAAUUAGUCAGAGACACUCGUAAUCGAGUUUCCACAUCUCAGUAUAUUCUUUGUCUGAUUUCAACCAUAACCUUCAUAUGUCUUUCGAUGUGGUACAAAUGUACUGCUAUUCCUGGACAACAGAUGGUAGAUCUCUAAGAAUGAAAGUAGAAUCUGAGUUAUUCACCUAACAAUCAUUUUCUUAUGGUAAUGGAUACAGCCUGUCAUUCCUAUUUGUGCUGGUGGCCUUAUUUCAGCCCCACACCAACCUUAACCCUCUGAACUCUAACAUCACCGCUGGCACAGCAUCUCCAUGCCACCCAUUGUGAUACAGAAGUUUUCUAUUUGGAGUCUCAAGUAAAGAAUUAAGAAGUUUGGGGUGGAAUUGAGAAGGUUAGGGAAGUGGGAUUGGAGUGUAGUUAAAUAAAGUAUUGGAAGACGUAAGUUGGUAGUGGGAUUCUACCAUUCAAGAAACUUAUUACCAUUUCCUUAAUUCUUUCCUUCUUCUUCUUCUGAUUCACUCUCAUAUUCUUCUUCUUUCUUCCAAUCAAAGAGGGUUUUUGGAGGAUAACAGUCAAGUGACUGGUGAGGACAUUGGGAACUCUUCUUUGUUUACUAUUUAAGGUAAUCCCUUUCAUGUUUAAGUUGUUAUAGCUUUAUUUGAUGAAAGUUUGAUGGAUAAAAAGCGAGUUUUGUGUUUAGAUCCUUAUUUGGGUUUCAAGUAUAUGGCUUAGUUGCAUAUGGUUUUGAUGUAGUUGGGAAUGAAUAUUUCUCUACAUUAUUAAAUUUGUAAGAUUAAGGUGUGAUUGUGGAGUUGGUUAUAAUUAAAGCAUUGGUUGGUUCCCUGAAUGUCCGGCUAUGAGAUAUAUUCUGAAAAUUUGAAUUGGUUUAUGUAAUUGGCUUUGUUACAUGUUGGUCUUAAGUUAUUGUUGUCAUUUGAAAUGGAAAUUAAGGUUGCGUGGUUUGGGGCUGGAAUAAUCGCUGCGUAUCUUGGUAUUGAACUUGUAAUUAAGGAUUAGACAUGGCAGAUAGAUUGGAUUCUAGAUAAUUCACAUCUAAGAAAAACUUGGAUUUCAAUAAUUUCGCGAUAACAGUCAGCCUUGUACAAUCUUAAACAACUGAUCAUAACUUGGUGUAGAAAUGUCAAAACUGAGUGAUUUUGGUUGCAUUUGAAACUAGAUCUUUCCAACAAUAUAAAAUUCUGAUUUUGAUUCUUUCCCUAUUGAUACCAGAAAAUUUGGAAAUUUGACUAAAAUUCUGGUUCUGCUCAGUACAGUACUAGAAAUGUCCUGACUCGAGCAAAAAAUAGGUCAGUUUACAUUUCGAGUCACAUAAUAUUGUCUUUUAGCGAUUAUUAGUAUUAGGAAUCUAAUUUUAACGGUACUAAUUUUGUAACUUUCGAUGAGUAUAGCUGAUAAGAGUAUAUUUUACGUAUUUUUAGUGUGUUUUAUUAGUUAAUUUUGGUUUGAUUAUUUAGUUUAAUAACUAAAAUAACUAAGGUUUUGGUAAAAAACUACAUUUUAUGUUAAAAUGGCUAAACAUUGCAUUUUAUGGAUUUUUAUGGUAAAAACUUCAUAUUUUGUAGGUUUAAUGAUUCAAUCAUCAAAUGAAGUGCAUUGAGAAGAUAUUUGGAUGAUUGAAGAUGGAUUAAAGUGGUGAAAAUAAAAUAUGAAGUGUAAAAAGGAAAAAUGCAAUUUGAAUCAAGAAAAGUCAGGUUUUGACAACUCUGACACGUUUUGGUAUUUUGACUAUAUAUGGAGCUACACUGAUCGGAUCAAGGUGAUCUUGGUACCAUUUUGAAGCUAAGAGAUAUAUCUACAUUUGGUAUGAAGACAUCAAAGUCCAAUUCAGCCGUUUUCAUAGUCCAAAAGUUGAAAUACCGAAAUUCAACUCAGCUGUCCAAAGUGGAAAACAGAGUUCUGACCAGUCUUUAGUAUUUUGGUCAUAUCUCAGGCUAAAAAGCUCCGAUCUGGAUGAUUUUUAGAGCAUUGGAAAGCUAACUCAAAGGGCUACAACUUUGAUGUUUUUCACAAAAGCCAGUUCAGCCUUUAUGAUAGAGAAAAUUGCAGUUGAAGUAAGGACAAAGUGAAUACGCGAGUACACAAAACGUGACUUGUAACCGCGUUUUGUGUAGGCGCGUUUUCUGGCCGCAAUUCUGCAAUUUGCUCAGUCAAUUCUCUUGUGCUCUGACUACUUUCCAUCUAUAAGUUGCAAGAGAAUUCGGUGCACAUGCUUUAGAAGACAAAAGGGCAAGAAAGUUGGCAUAUUUUCAAGUCAAAAACAAUGGCUAUUGAUAAGAGUUUAUUUUACGUAUUUUUAAGUGCAUUUUAUUAGUUAAUUUUGAGUUGAUUAUUUAGUUUUAUAAUUAAAAUAAAGAGGUUUUUGGUAAAAUUAUAUAUUUUUGGUAAAAGUGGAUAAUAUUGCAUUUCUAUUGAUUUUAAUAGUAAAAACUUCAUUUUUAUGCAGGAAUAAUGAAUCAAUCACCAAAGGAGGACAAUUGAGGUGAAAAAUAGAGAUUUGGUGAUAAAUUUAAGUGGCAACAAGAAGAAUGAAGUGAAAAACGUUCAAGUGAGGAAAUGCAAUACAAGUCAGUUUUGACACUUUUCAGUAUUUUGACCAUAUCUGGAGCUACACUUAUCGGAUUGAGGUGAUUUUUAUACCAUUUUAAAGCUAAGAAAGAGACCUACAAUUCGUAUGAAGACAUCGAAAUCCAUUUCUGCCAUCUUCAUGGGCAAAACGUUGGAAUACAGAAGCUGCACCCUGUGGUCGGAAGUUAAAACAGAGGUUUGAACAGGUGACAGUAUUUCGAUCAUAUCUCAGGCUACAAAGCUCCGAUUUGGAUGAUUCUUGAAGCAUUGGAAAGCUAACUCAAAGGGCUACAACUUUUGUGUUUUGCACAAAAGCUAGUUCGGCCUUUAUGAUAGAGAAAAUCGCAGAUGAAAUAAGGCCAAAGUGAAUACGCGAGUACACAAAACGUGACUUGUAACCGCGUUUUGUGUAGGCGCGUUUUAUAGCCGAAAUUCUGCAAUUUGACUCAGCCAAUUCUCUUGUGUUCAUACCACUUUCCAGCUAUAAGAUGCAAGGGAAUUCGGUGCACAUGCUUCAGAAGACAAAAGGGCAAGAAAAGUGGCUUAUUUUCAAGUCAAAAAUAUUGGUUUUUGACUAUGCUAACAAAGUGGAGAUUUGGGAAUCAAAGGAUAGAAUUUGACUUGGAAAAAUGGAGCAUUUGAGUGUUUUUUAUGCAGAGAUAUGGGGAGAGAUCUGGGAACCAUUCGUAGCUUAGCUUCUUACAGAAAAACAUAGUCUCUCUAGCUAGGUACUUGCAAAGGACAAUUGAGGUUUCAUCUUGUAAUCAUCUAAGUUCAAGACAAGGAGAUUUUUGGAAGGCUUCACCAUAUCUUGGCUAAGACUUUCUUUACUCUUUUUGUAUUUGUAAAUUCAUGAUGAUUUGCAUUAAUGAAGUUAUGAGUGUUUCAUCAUUCAUGAGUAGCUAAUUUCCUUUAUCUAGGGAGUAGAUGAAGCUUAUGGCCAAAUGAUAUGAAGUGAUUGUGAUUUAUGCUUGUUAUGUCUUGUAUUAACUUAUCUACUUGUGUAUGUUGGAUUACUUGUUGCUUGAUCACCAAUAGCAGGUUUAUAGUUGUUUUUACUCAUUGAGAAAUGGUAAAAAUAAUGGAAUGACAUAAGUAGAGCUUGAGUAGUAUAUUCAUGAGAAUAGAAAUACAUUCAAGUGGAUGAAAUCUGCAUUUCAUGUGUGAAUAAGAACAGAUUUAGUAUUUACCAAGAGAUUAGGAAAAACUAAUCUGUUUUAACCCAUUAUUAUCAUGAGAAUGUGAUUUUGGUAUUUCUGGAAAUGAAUCCUUGGUUAAACAAGAGCAGUAACAAGUGUUGAAUUAAUUCAUUUUAGAUCUUUUGUGUUAUAAGUGGAAUCUACAUCCCUAGAUCUUAAUAUUUAGUGAAUUCUACUCCUAUUGUGAAAUUGCAUUUAUCUAUUUAAGAAUUUUUGUAGUUGAAUUAAAAUCUGAAGUUUCUGCUCAAAUUAAUUGUAAGUCUAAAUAAUAGAGUAAAUUAGUAUCUAAUAAUUGUUUUAAAUUGCUCCUCGUGGGAUCGACCCGAUACACAUCUCGUACUACAAUUGCGACCUGUAUACUUGCAGUCCAACGGGUGUAAAUUCGGAAUUAAACUUGCACUUAAAGUAAAAACCCGUCAAGUUUUUGGCGCCGUUGCCGGGGAGCGGCAAUAUUAGAGCCUAAUCAUCUUUAUUAAUUUAGACAGUAUUAUUUUUUUUAUAUUUAAUCUUAUUUUGUAAUCAGUUUUUGACAAUUGAAGUUGCAUAAUAUCCCUUAUUUCUGUUUGUAGUGUAUGCACCGGGAGUCUCGAGAAGUCGUACCUGUCGAUCCAGAAAUUGAGAGGACACUACGUAGACAAAGGAGGCACACACAACAGCAAGAGGAACAAGAGAUUUGGCAACCGAUAGAGGAAAUUUUGAUAGAACUACCAUUUGCGGAAGAGAUGGCCGAAAAUGACCCAAAUAGGCGAGUUCUACGAGAUUAUACUCUACCGGGAACACAAGGAUCUCAAACAAGCAUACUGCAGGUGGAGCUUUAAUGGGUAAAUCACCCCAAGAGGCUCAUAAUUUGAUAGAAGAAAUGGCAGCAAAUAACUACCAAUGGGCCAAUGAGAGAGGUAAUACAAGACGUCACGCAGGUAUGAUAGAAAUGGACACUCUCAAUAUGCUGAGUGCUCAAAUGAAUAAUGUGAUGAAGUUAUUGAGUAGACAAGGUGGAGUUAGUCCAAGUUCAUCUAAUGCUCACGUAGCUUGUUGCUCUUUCUGUGGAGGUGAACAUGAUAUUAAUGAGUGUGUUGAUUCUGAGCAGGUACAAUUUGUUAAUAAUUACAACCGAAAUGCUCCAAAUAAUCCCUACUCGAAUACUUACAAUCCGGGGUGGAGAAAUCAUCCAAACUUUGGAUGGAAAGAUCAAGGCAAUCAACAAAGGCCAACCAAUCCGCCGGGAUUUCAACCAAGGCAACCACAGGCUGAAACUAAACCAAGUUGGGAGAUCGCGGUGGAAAAACUUGCUAAGGUGACUUCGGAUAGAUUCGAGCGAGUUGAGGGGCGGUUGGACCAAUUAGCUGGGAUGUACAGAAACUUGGAGGUUCAAAUUGGUCAAAUUGCCAAUGUGAUCAACAAUAGAAACCCUGGUGAAUUACCAAGUAAAACCGAAGUGAAUCCGAGAGAGCAUGUCAAUGCAAUCAUUCUUAGAAGUGGUAAAACGGUUGAGGGAUUCGAUUUUGAAAAUUCAGGUGGUGAAAAAGACAAGAUGCAUGCAAUUGAAGGGGAGCAAGAAAGUCAAAAUGAUCAUGUUAUCAUUGAUAUUGAUGCACUUCAUCCCAAAUUAAAUUCUCAUUUAAAUUCUAAUGUGAUACCUUUUCCUCACAGGUUGAAGAAAGAUGGACAGGAUCGGGAGUUUGAAAAGUUCUUCAAAAUGUUUAAACAAUUGCACAUUAACAUUCCUUUCAUUGAUGCUAUAACACAGAUUCCCUCUUAUGCACGUUUCUUGAAAGACAUCAUGUCAAAGAAGAGGAAAAUUGUAGAUAAUGAGAUGAUAGCAUUAACGGAAGAGUGUAGUGCAUUGAUUAAGAAUAAACUCCCUCCUAAAUUGAAAGAUCCGGGAAGUUUUUCUAUUCCUUGCACUAUUGGUCAAUUGCAUUUUUCUAAUGCUUUAUGUGAUUUAGGUGCAAGUGUGUCACUUAUGCCGUUAUCGGUUGCCCGGAGAUUGGGACUUCAAGAGCUAAAAGCUACCAAUAUUACAUUGCAAUUGGCGGAUCGGUCAAUCACACGUCCCAUGGGUAUUUUGGAAAAUGUGCUCAUAAAGGUAAGACAAUCUAUAAUACCUGUGGAUUUUGUUGUCUUAGAUAUUGAAGAAGAUGUGAGAAUGCCAAUUAUUCUAGGACGACCGUUUUUAGCCACUGCACGAACUAUGAUUGAUGUAGAAAAAGGUAAGCUUAUAUUACGGGUUAAUGGUGAGGAAUUGGAAUUCAAUUUGGAAAAUAAAGAAGGGAAUAUAGAGCCUACUGCUCUUGUUUCUAAUAUGCCAUAUGAUGAAAAGGUUAACCAAGAAAGGACCGAAGAAGUUAAAUUUAUAAAUGUCCUUGGUACUAACUUUCAUGGUGUAGGAACAAAGGAGGAGAAGAUAAGGAUGGAAGUUGGCUUAAUAAAUUCUCCAUUCCAUGAAGAAAAUGGUGAAAAGUUGAGCCAAUUCAGAAAAGACAAGCAAAAUCCACUCCAAGGUGAAGUUGAGCCUCUCUAUGACAAGUCUAAUAUUCCUCCUUGGCAUUUGAGGAAAUUGGACUAUGAAGAUCAAUGCAUGGUUCACCACAUGGUGGAUUGGCUCGGGAGUUUCGACCCAUGGGGAGAAAAUCGCUCCCUAAUGCUCUAAAGUGAUUCAACUCUUUCCGUCGAGCCAACGACUAUAAACAAAAGCGCUAAUUGGGAGGCAACCCAAUGUUUAUGUUAUUUGUGUUAAAUUUUUGUGAUUUUUAGACUUGAAUAAGUGUUUUAGUUAAUUUGUUGUUUUUGUGUGAUAGGGUUGGCAAAUGGAAGCAAGAAUGACCAUUUGAGGUGAAAAGGGCGAACUUUGAUCAAACAACUCAACCCCUCGAUUUGCGUUAAAGGUGUUUUUGAUUCAUUAUAAAGGGGUAAAAUACAUGUUUUUAAUGUUUUACAUUUGUUCCAGUCAUUAAAAUUGGCAAACAAAUGAUCUAUGAUGCAUUUUGAGUCAUUGGGGUACCUUUUGUAAUUUUUCAAAAGUUGAAAUUCUGCUAAAAAUCGAAGCAGAAAACGCGUUUGCAAAUAAAACGCGACUAAAAGUCGCGUUUCUCAGAAUCGCGUUUUCAAUUCUGCACCUGCAGAACAGAAAACGCGCCUUCAAAACGCGACCUAAAGUCGCGUUUUAAUGGAAGUCGCGUUUUCAAGCCUGGAUCAAGACUCAAAAACGCGACUUCAGAAACGCGACUCGAAGUCGCGUUUUCCAUCACAGUCGCGUUUUCAUUCCUGCAAGAUUUGUGCAGAAAACGCGACUUGAAAAACGCGAGUUGAAGGCGCGUUUUUAGUCGCGUUUUCCGUAUCUGAAUAUAGCCUUCAGAAACGCGAUUUCAGCCUUUCUUCUUCACUUCUCCAAUUUUUCCAGCCGCGUUUUUCCCUCUUCCUUCUACCCAACUCACAAAUCUUCAUUUUUACUCCAUAAUCUUGCUAGAAAUCAUCACCCCAACACCUUUUGAGCUUCAUACAACCUUUUUAACCGAUUAAAAUUCAAGAAAAACACUUAAAAUCAGGUUUUUGAAGCAUUGAAGGUUAGGGUUCUUAAACUCCAAUUUCUUCAAUUGGAGGUCAAUUGGAGGUUGUUUCAUAGGGCUUUUUGCAUUUUUAGCAUCACCAAACAUCCUUCUACGUGACUGAGGUAAGUUUCUUCAUCAAAUCUUUUGAUUUUAGAAGUUCAUAUUUUUUAUCCUGAGCUAUCUGACAUCUUUUAAUUUCGAAAAUUUGAUGAGGUUCAUGGCUAUUUUUGAUUUUAUUCAUGAUUAUUAUGAUUGUUUAAGCAUGUUUAAAUGUUUAAAUGUAGCAAUUUAUUGGUUUUCAAGUACUUUAAAAUUCACAAUUGCUAUAUUUAGAUGAAAUUGGAAAAAGGAACUAGGAUGUUUUCGAGCCAUUGGUGCUGUUAAAUUAUGGUUAAAAAUGGUUAGUUGAUGAUGUUUAAGCAUGUGCAUUGUGUAUAGUGAGUAAUUUGGUUGAUUUGGGGAGUUAAUUAGUUUAAUUUUUGCCUAAACAUGAUUAUAGCUAAAAGCAUAUUAUUAUUGUUAAUUCUAAAUAGUUAUAAUCAUAAUUGUUCCUAUUUUCACUAAUUAAAUUAUAAUUGAUACAUAUCUUGUGUAAUUUGGUGAUUUUGGGCAACUUUAGGCAGAAAAUAUGUCUUGUACGAUCAUUGAAUGAUUAGAACUUGAGCAAUUGUAUUUGAGGUUAUUUGGAUUAAUGCUGAACUUUUGUUGCCAAAAAAAUGAGUUGUAGUACAUGUGAAUAAUUGAAAUAUUUUUUAGGUACUAUGCCAAGAGGAAGAAGAGCGGUACUUUCAUCCUCUAGUAGUGAGGACAGGGAGGUUAAUGAAGAGAUGGAGGUGACUGAAGAGGAGAAUUCACCUUCUCCUCCACCAAUUAACCGUCGACCUGGUGAGGGCACCUCCCGUGGAGCGGGAAGAUCGGUAUUUGACAGUGCUAGGUUCAACACUCGCAGGAAUCAGGAGUGGCAUGAGGCGCGUGCUAAUUUGGAGUUUUUGUUUGAGAUGCACGUCAGUCCACCAGUUGAGAUGAUGUACAACAUCUCAGAAGCUUUUGCUCAGCUAGGAUGGGCUCCGAUUCUCACCCUUCCAAACCAUUACUACCCAGACCUGGUGCGCGAGUUUUACGCCAACAUUGAAAGUAAGGCGCGCCAUAGUGGAGAAAUAAUUGAGUCCUGGGUGCGUGGAAGACGAAUCACCUUGUCACGGCAAGAUUUGGCUGCUAUUUUGGGGUGUAUGGAUGACGGACGUCCAGUAGACUUGAAGAAGGAGUUUGUUCCCCCGAAUAGGAGGUGGGAUCCAUCAUUGGCCAUGGCUAGGUUUGGUCUCGAGUACCAACCUUUUCGCUCUACCAGAAACGAGACUAUAUUGGCAAAUGUAUUCGAACCUCGUCAUCGGCUUAUCAUUUACAUGAUGGCUCACAAUGUCAUCCCAAAGAAGACGGGGCACACGGAGGUUCGCAAGAGCGAUAUUUACUUCCUUGAUUACAUGUUCCACAACCGAACUUCCCCGUAUGCUCGAAUUUCAUUGCCGAACAUCAUCAUCAGCCACAUUAGGUCUACGGCGAGGCGUAAGACAACUUCUUUCAAACUUUCAUUUCCUCGUCUACUGACUUUAAUCUUCCCCCGUUUUGAAGUUCCCUUGGAAGGCAUGCGGCGGGAGUAUGUUCCACCACGUGCUGAGAUGACUAUCACUACUCUUCGCCGCCUUGGUAUUGGCACGGGAGACAUUCCACGCCCUGUUCAGGAGCGGAGACAAAAGGCUAGACAUGGUCGCGAUGGAGCUGGACCAUCUACUGCAGCACCACCUCCUCCUCCGCCACAGACCAACUGGCAGCGGCUUUUCGGUCGCUUGGACGACAUCGACCAUCAUUUAGCCAGAAUGGAUACUCGCCUGGACCGAAUUGAAGAUCAUUUAGGCACACGCCCACCUCCCAUCGAUGAUGAUGAAGAUGACGAUGAAGAGGAUCAUUGAGGCUGCCCUUUGGCUGGCUUUUCUUUUGUUUGCUUGUUAUUUUUAUCUUUUGUUUGAAAAAUGUUAACUUACAUUCCUUAUUUUGAAUAUUGGAACUUGUGGCAGUAACUAGUAGAUCGUUGACUGUGGAUGGUUGAGCGGUCGAUGACUCAUGAUUCAAGGCUUCACUGGACUGCAGUCAUCUCACUUGGGGAGUCACUUGUUCCUUUCUUUUGUUUCUUUUCUUUUCUUUCCCUACACAUUGAGGACAAUGUGUAUUCUAAGUGUGGGGGAAGAAAUGUGUGGUACUUGUGAUUUUAGUUGUGUUUGAUAUAAUUCUUGUGCUUAAAUGGUGUUUCUUGUGGUUGCUGGCAGGGAGAUUUAGUCCACUUUUAAGGGGAGACUCUGUCAAAAUUUUUCCAAAACCUUAUACAUAUAUAUGUUAUUAACUAUAAUAAAUAAAUAAAAUUUUGUCACUUAUCCUUUUGAAAUAAAUAUAUGCGGUUUUGAUACUUCUUUUCUCAUGAAAUUUGGAAAUGAUUUUUAUGUGAUUAUAAUUUUUACAUCUAUAGGAAAGUAUAUCUAGUAAAGUGGAGAAAAUUAUGCCUACAUUUUGUAUAUUUGAUGAAAAUUCUUCUUUUUAUCUAAUUUUAUAAGAUAAGAAAUUAAUAUGGUUAAUAAGUGUCAUACUCUUCUCAUGAUUACUCUUAGAGGGAAUUUUAUUAUAUAUUGUUAAAAAAAAAAAAAAAUGGUUAUUCUACUCCAAUGAUUCUCGUACCGAGUAACCGGGGGUUGGCAUCUACAAAUGUCGACAUUCGCGUAAAAAGGUACUUGAAUUAAGAGUAUGCAAAGCAACUUGAGUAUGUGAAAUGUUGAGUAACCGGGGAUCUGCAUCUAAAAAUGUUGAUCUUCGCGUCAAAAGGCAUUUUUCACAACUUAAGUAAUAUUUAACCCUUAAAAUAUAUAAAAAAAUAAAAUAAAAUAAAUAAAUAAAAAAAAGUAAAUUAAAUCCCUCUUUAAGAAAAAUAAGAAGUUGAUCAUGAGAUUAGUUAGCAUCUUUAUUGACUAUAGGAGUUGCUUGCUUGCGAAAUUGGAUAAAAAUAAGAAGUUGAGUUGAAUUGGUAAAAUUAUGGUAUACUUGGCUCUUCUUUGCUUGAUAUUAUGAGUACUUGAACUUAAUGGAAAGAUCACAUAAGGGUUAUUUACCUUGAUUCAAGGAAAUGGAGUUGAAAUACUACAUAUGUUUAUUUUCAAUUUUUUUGGAUCAUUGAUGGUUAGAAUUUUAUAUUGGUUGAGGACAAGCAAUGAUUCAAGUGUGGGGGUAUUUGAUAAGAGUUUAUUUUACGUAUUUUUAAGUGCAUUUUAUUAGUUAAUUUUGAGUUGAUUAUUUAGUUUUAUAAUUAAAAUAAAGAGGUUUUUGGUAAAAUUAUAUAUUUUUGGUAAAAGUGGAUAAUAUUGCAUUUCUAUUGAUUUUAAUAGUAAAAACUUCAUUUUUAUGCAGGAAUAAUGAAUCAAUCACCAAAGGAGGUCAAUUGAGGUGAAAAAUAGAGAUUUGGUGAUGAAUUUAAGUGGCAACGAGAAGAAUGAAGUGAAAAACGUUCAAGUGAGGAAAUGCAAUACAAGUCAGUUUUGACACUUUUCAGUAUUUUGACCAUAUCUGGAGCUACACUUAUCGGAUUGAGGUGAUGUUUAUACCAUUUUAAAGCUAAGAAAGAGACCUACAAUUCGUAUGAAGACAUCGAAAUCCAUUUCUGCCAUCUUCAUGGGCAAAACGUUGGAAUACAGAAGCUGCACCCUGUGGUCGGAAGUUAAAACAGAGGUUUGAACAGGUGACAGUAUUUCGAUCAUAUCUCAGGCUACAAAGCUCCGAUUUGGAUGAUUCUUGAAGCAUUGGAAAGCUAACUCAAAGGGCUACAACUUUUGUGUUUUGCACAAAAGCUAGUUCGGCCUUUAUGAUAGAGAAAAUCGCAGAUGAAAUAAGGCCAAAGUGAAUACGCGAGUACACAAAACGUGACUUGUAACCGCGUUUUGUGUAGGCGCGUUUUAUAGCCGAAAUUCUGCAAUUUGACUCAGCCAAUUCUCUUGUGUUCAUACCACUUUCCAGCUAUAAGAUGCAAGGGAAUUCGGUGCACAUGCUUCAGAAGACAAAAGGGCAAGAAAAGUGGCUUAUUUUCAAGUCAAAAAUAUUGGUUUUUGACUAUGCUAACAAAGUGGAGAUUUGGGAAUCAAAGGAUAGAAUUUGACUUGGAAAAAUGGAGCAUUUGAGUGUUUUUUAUGCAGAGAUAUGGGGAGAGAUCUGGGAACCAUUCGUAGCUUAGCUUCUUACAGAAAAACAUAGUCUCUCUAGCUAGGUACUUGCAAAGGACAAUUGAGGUUUCAUCUUGUAAUCAUCUAAGUUCAAGACAAGGAGAUUUUUGGAAGGCUUCACCAUAUCUUGGCUAAGACUUUCUUUACUCUUUUUGUAUUUGUAAAUUCAUGAUGAUUUGCAUUAAUGAAGUUAUGAGUGUUUCAUCAUUCAUGAGUAGCUAAUUUCCUUUAUCUAGGGAGUAGAUGAAGCUUAUGGCCAAAUGAUAUGAAGUGAUUGUGAUUUAUGCUUGUUAUGUCUUGUAUUAACUUAUCUACUUGUGUAUGUUGGAUUACUUGUGUUGCUUGAUCACCAAUAGCAGGUUUAUAGUUGUUUUUACUCAUUGAGAAAUGGUAAAAAUAAUGGAAUGACAUAAGUAGAGCUUGAGUAGUAUAUUCAUGAGAAUAGAAAUACAUUCAAGUGGAUGAAAUCUGCAUUUCAUGUGUGAAUAAGAACAGAUUUAGUAUUUACCAAGAGAUUAGGAAAAACUAAUCUGUUUUAACCCAUUAUUAUCAUGAGAAUGUGAUUUUGGUAUUUCUGGAAAUGAAUCCUUGGUUAAACAAGAGCAGUAACAAGUGUUGAAUUAAUUCAUUUUAGAUCUUUUGUGUUAUAAGUGGAAUCUACAUCCCUAGAUCUUAAUAUUUAGUGAAUUCUACUCCUAUUGUGAAAUUGCAUUUAUCUAUUUAAGAAUUUUUGUAGUUGAAUUAAAAUCUGAAGUUUCUGCUCAAAUUAAUUGUAAGUCUAAAUAAUAGAGUAAAUUAGUAUCUAAUAAUUGUUUUAAAUUGCUCCUCGUGGGAUCGACCCGAUACACAUCUCGUACUACAAUUGCGACCUGUAUACUUGCAGUCCAACGGGUGUAAAUUCGGAAUUAAACUUGCACUUAAAGUAAAAACCCGUCAGCUAUUGACUAUCUUAACAAUUUCAGAUUUGGAAAACAAAUGCAGCAAAUUUGGACCAAUGGAAAAGGAGCUUUUGGAGCAGUUUAUAUAGGGAGCAACCAGGACAUUGAGAAAUAGACGGGAGAAGCUUGGAGUCUGCAAAAAUGUAGCUUUUCCAUUCUCUUAUUGUUAGAUUAGUUUAGUAUAGAGUAGUAGUUCAUCCUUCUUGUUUAUUAGCUAGGCAAAGAUGAAGAAGGAGAUGAAGAAGGCAAGGAAAGAGCUCAUGUGACAAGGGUUAUUUUUCCUUUCCAACUCUUUAUCUUUUGUAUUUGAUUCCAAGUUUAGCUAAUAUACAAGUUCUGGAUUUUGUGUUUAAUAUGUGUCUUUAAAGUUUAUACCUUGGGUUUGGUUGAACUUUCUAUGAUUGUUAGUGUUAAUCAUUUGGCUAUUUAACUGCUAUGUUUUGAGCAAGUUAUUUAGCACUUUGGCUCUUUAAAUCAUGAUUAAUCUGGUACCAUUAAUUCUGAUUAUCUAAGGUGUUGUUUCUGCAAUGGAAAUUGAGAUUUAACACUAGUUCAAGAAGUGCUAAACAUAGGGAGUACACUCACGAAAGUAGAGGUGCACCUAUGUGGUUUUUAGUGAUUCAUUUCAUGUAAUUUCACUGAAGAAAUGAACUUGUAGCUAAUUUCAUAACCAUGAGAAUAGGUAUGGAUUAGUUAUAAGUAUAAUUGAUUCACUACGAAAGUAGGAUUCAAAUGCAUAAGGAAAUUACACCAUAAUUAGCCUAGAUGUAGUAUUCAAUGAUUCAAAUAUAACACUUGCAUGAGUAGUUAGGGAUACCACAACCUAAGGAGCUUUUAUUUGUUAAUUUCUUGUAUAAGUGCAGUAGGUUAAAUUUCUUAUCAUUAAUUGAUAGUCUAAAUAAUAAAGAAACUUUAGUAAUACCGGUAAUUGUUCACUCUUCCCUGUGGGAUCGACCCGAUAUAUACCCUAAACUACUAGUUGAUCUGUAUACUUGCAGUGAACGGGUGUAAUUCGGUAUUUUUUAGCUUGCACGUAUGUAAAAUACCCGUCAAGUUUUUGGCGCCGUUGCCGGGGAAGAUUUGGCAAUAUCGGUGUGAAGAGCAACUUUAUUAAUUUAGACAAUUUUUCUUAUUUUUGUUAUUUUUGUUGUAUCUUGUGUGUUUUAUGUCAUUUUUUUUUUAGUCAACUUUUAUUAUUAUUAUUAUUUUUUUUUUCUGUUUUAGUUUGUGUCUUGGAAUCUAUCCUUCUUAACUAAUCUUACUUUUGAGAUUGUUUAAAAGUAAUUUUAGAUAAUGAGGAGGGUAGGUGAACUGGGAGGACAAAGCUUGAGAAAUGAAAGAUUGGCAAUGGAUGGUUACCUAGUGCAAAGCUCCUUCAACAGAGGUAACCAAGAAAUUACUGAAGGUAUGUUUUUUGAAGAUGGUAUAAGGUGCUUAAAGGCUAAAUUUGAUGUUAUGAUGCUACAAGUUCAAAUGGACAAAAUUGUGCAGGAAAUUGAACAAAGGAGGAAUGCAAAUGUUUUUAAUUCUUAUCAUGUGAUUUGUGACUUGUGUGGAGAUUAUCAUGCUUCUAAUACAUGUAGACAAGCACAAAAUAUGGAUUAUUAUGAUGAAUUAGAGCAUUACAAUCCUUGUUUUGAUCGAUAUAGUGCUAAUUUGAGCAAUUCUCCUGCUUAUGGUUGGAAUAAUCAAUGUACUUAUAGUAAUUCUUCAUAUUUUUAUGAUUACCAACCUGAAUGUGUCCAAUAUGAAUCAAAACCAUCUUGGGAGUUGGCAAUUGAAAUGGUAGCUAAUGAUUCUAAGCCAUCUUGGGAGUUAGCUUUAGAAAAAUUAGCUAAUGCAACUUCCAACCGUUUUGAUAGGAUUGAGGAAAGAAUAGAUGAAUUAACUUCUCACUUUGGCAGAAUAAAUGAGCAAUUGAAUGCAUUGUGUGAGGUUAUUUCUUCUAAUAAAUUGCAAAAUGAUCCUAGCAUGAAUGGUAAGAAUGUUGUAUGUGAAAAUGGAUUGCAUGUUGAUGAAAAUGAUGAAUCUCAAUUGUGUUUCAAUGAGCAAAUGUCCAUUUCACAAGAUAAUAUCUUUGGAACUAACUUUGAGGCUCAAGAGGUGAGUUUUAAUGACUCAUUUUUCACCCCUCUUGAGGAGUGCAUUGAAAGUGUAGGUUCUAAGGGUAUUGCUGCCCAAGAUACUCUCAUGGCAUUCCCGUUGGUAAGUUCUCAAGUGGUGCAUAUUCAAGGUAAUAUUUAUGAAACACUUGGAAUAGGUAAGCCACUUCCAUUUCUCACAUCAUUAGAUUAUGUGGCUUUCGCGAUAAAGCCACCAUUUAAUGAUCCACCACGACAAAAAAUGGUGGAUUAUUCGUUAACUAAGCCUCCUUGAAAAAUGAGGUAGUCAAGCUAUUGACUUUAAAGAAGCGCUUAUUGGGAGGCAACCCAAUGUUUGUUUAAGUUUAUGUUAUUUUGGGGUGAUUUUAUGUUUAAAGUAUAUGUUUGAGUUAUUUUGUUAUUUUUCAUUUGUAGGUAUUGGAAAUGGAAGCAAAAGUGACCAAAUGAGGUUAAAAAGGCGAAUUUUGAUCAAGGAACUCAACCCCUCAAUUUGAGUAAUUGUUGUUUUUGAUUUGUUAGAAGGGGUUAAAAUGCAUAUUUUGAUCAUUUUACAUGUGCAUGUAUUGAGUAUUUUAACAAACAAAUGAUCUAUGAUGCAUUUUGAGUGAUUGGGGUAUCAUUUGUAAUUUUUCAAAGUUGGCUUUCUGCAAAAAUUUCGCAGAAGAAAACGCAUUUUGGCUGAAAACGCGCCUUAGAAUCGCGUUUUCCAUAAUCGCGUUUUCAAUUCUGCGCCUAUACUGAAGAAAACGCGCCUUCAAAACGCGACAGGAAGUCGCGUUUUCUAACAAGUCGCGUUUUACAGCCUGAUCAAAAAUUGAAAACGCGACUUUAAAUACGCGACUCCAAGUCGCGUUUUAUAACACAGUCGCGUUUUAGAUCCUGCAAGAUAUGUGAAGAAACGCGACUUCACAAAACGCGGCUUGAUGGCGCGUUUUGAUGAGUCGCGUUUUCGGAGCAAAAAAAAAAAAAAAUGCACAUUCCUUGAUUCUCUUUUUUCUUCUUUUCCUUAUAUAUUUUCUUGUACCUUCAGUUUCUUAUUGUGUAUUUUUUAUAGGUACAUCACCAAAACAAGGGCUUGAAGUUACGGAUCCCCAUUUUGUUUUCUUAAGCCUUUGUUAUCACUUUUGUUUCUCAUUUUCCAUUUUUAGGUUUAUAUCACUAAUGGUUACCAAAUGGAACUCAUGAAGCGAUGAAGACAAGCGAACAACGUACCUUGAAGCUUCAUAUUCAAUCACAACAAUAGGGGAGUAUUAUUUUUCUUUAUUUUCAUUUUCCUUUUUACACAUUGAGGACAAUGUGCAUGUUAAGUGUGGGGGGAGAAUUGAGAUUUUAUAUAUUGUAUGUGAUUGACUUAUUAGUUGCAAAUAUUGGACUUGUGUUAAAAUUCAAAAUUUUUCUACAAUCUUGUCCAAAAUUGCAAACUUGCCCCAAAAAAAGUUUCAAUUUUUUCGAUUUUAUCCAAAGGGGUAACAAGUUUCAUACCAUUAGUAGUUCAAAUUUCUUCUACAUUUGAGAUAAAUAUAUGUGAUUUGGAAACUUCUUUUCUCAUUUAACUUGGAAAUGACUAUUAUGUGAUUAUAAUUUUGCAUUUGUAGGAAAAUAUAUCUUGUGAAGUGGAGAAAAUUAUGCCUAUUUUUUUUUUUUUUUUUGCAUAUUUAAUGAAAUUUCUUUUUUUUUACUUGAUUUUAUAUAGUUAAGUGAUCAAUAUGGUCAAUAGGUGCAAUACUCUUCUCAUGAUUAUUCUUUUGAGGAAUUUAUGUUAAAAAAAAAAAGAGAAAAAAAAAAGAAGAAAAAAAAAGAUUUAUUCUACUCCAAUGAUUCUUGUACUUAGUAACCGGGAGUCUUCAUCUACAAAUGUCGACUUUCGCGUAAAACGGUACUUGAAUUAAGAGUAUGCAAAGCAACUUGAGUAUGUGAAGUGUUGAGUAACCGGUGAUCUUCAUCUAAAAAUGUCGAUUCUCGCGUCAAAAGGCAUUCUCACAUCUUAAGUAAUAUUUAGCUACGUUAUAUGAAUAAAUAUCCUUUUAAGUAGAAUAAAGAGAUGAUCAUGAGUUUAGGAAGCAUUAUUAUUGACCAUAUGAAUUACUUGCUUGUGAAAUUGGGAAAGGAUGAGAAAUGGAAUUAAACUUGUUAUAAUUAUGGUAUAAUUGGCUCUCCUUUACUUGAUAUUAUGAGUACUUGAACUUAAUUGAAUAAUUGCAUAAUGGUUAUUUACUUUGUUUUGAGGAAAUGAAGUUGAAAUGCUACAUAUGCUUAUUUUCAAAUUUUGGAUCAUUGUCGGUUUGUAUUUCUUAUUGCUUGAGGACAAGCAAUGGUUCAAGUGUGGGGGUAUUUGAUAAGAGUAUAUUUUACGUAUUUUUAGUGUGUUUUAUUAGUUAAUUUUGGUUUGAUUAUUUAGUUUAAUAACUAAAAUAACUAAGGUUUUGGUAAAAAACUACAUUUUAUGUUAAAAUGGCUAAACAUUGCAUUUUAUGUAUUUUUAUGGUAAAAACUUCAUAUUUUGUAGGUUUAAUGAUUCAAUCAUCAAAUGAAGUGCAUUGAGAAGAUAUUUGGAUGAUUGAAGAUGGAUUAAAGUGGUGAAAAUAAAAUAUGAAGUGUAAAAAGGAAAAAUGCAAUUUGAAUCAAGAAAAGUCAGGUUUUGACAACUCUGACACGUUUUGGUAUUUUGACUAUAUAUGGAGCUACACUGAUCGGAUCAAGGUGAUCUUGGUACCAUUUUGAAGCUAAGAGAUAUAUCUACAUUUGGUAUGAAGACAUCAAAGUCCAAUUCAGCCGUUUUCAUAGUCCAAAAGUUGAAAUACCGAAAUUCAACUCAGCUGUCCAAAGUGGAAAACAGAGUUCUGACCAGUCUUUAGUAUUUUGGUCAUAUCUCAGGCUAAAAAGCUCCGAUCUGGAUGAUUUUUAGAGCAUUGGAAAGCUAACUCAAAGAGCUACAACUUUGAUGUUUUUCACAAAAGCCAGUUCAGCCUUUAUGAUAGAGAAAAUUGCAGUUGAAGUAAGGACAAAGUGAAUACGCGAGUACACAAAACGUGACUUGUAACCGCGUUUUGUGUAGGCGCGUUUUCUGGCCGCAAUUCUGCAAUUUGCUCAGUCAAUUCUCUUGUGCUCUGACUACUUUCCAUCUAUAAGUUGCAAGAGAAUUCGGUGCACAUGCUUUAGAAGACAAAAGGGCAAGAAAGUUGGCAUAUUUUCAAGUCAAAAACAAUGGCUAUUGACUAUCUUAACAAUUUCAGAUUUGGAAAACAAAUGCAGCAAAUUUGGACCAAUGGAAAAGGAGCUUUUGGAGCAGUUUAUAUAGGGAGCAACCAGGACAUGGUCUAGAAAAAAGGGGAAAUAUACGGGAGAAGCUUGGAGUCUGCAAAAAUGUAGCUUUUCCAUUCUCUUAGUGUUAGUUUAGCUUAGUAUAGAGUAAGAUAGUUCAUCCAUUCUUGUUAUUAGCUAGAUAAAGAAGAAGAUGGAGGAUGAAGAAGGCAAGGAAGAAAGCUCAUGUGACAAGGGUUAUUCCUUCCAACUCUUUAUCUUUUGUAUUUGAUUCCAAGUUUAGCUAAUAUACAAGUUCUGGAUUUUGUGUUUAAUAUGUGUCUUUAAAGUUUAUACCUUGGGUUUGGUUGAACUUUCUAUGAUUGUUAGUGUUAAUCAUUUGGCUAUUUAACUGCUAUGUUUUGAGCAAGUUAUUUAGCACUUUAGCUCUUUAAAUCAUGAUUAAUCCGGUACCAUUAAUUCUGAUUAUCUAAGGUGUUAUUUCUGCAAUGAAAAUUGAGAUUUAACACUUAGUUCAAGAAGUGCUAAACAUAGGGAGUACACUCACGAAAGUAGAGGUGCACCUAUGUGGUUUUUAGUGAUUUAUUUCAUGUAAUUUCACUGAAGAAAUGAACUUGUAGCUAAUUUCAUAACCAUGAGAAUAGGUAUGGAUUAGUUAUAAGUAUAAUUGAUUCACUACGAAAGUAGGAUUCAAAUGCAUAAGGAAAUUACACCAUAAUUAGCCUAGAUGUAGUAUUCAAUGAUCCAAAUAUAACACUUGCAUGAGUAGUUAGGGAUACCACAACCUAAGGAGCUUUUAUUUGUUAAUUUCUUGUAUAAGUGCAGUAGGUUAAAUUUCUUAUCAUUAAUUGAUAGUCUAAAUAAUAAAGAAACUUUAGUAAUACCGGUAAUUGUUCACUCUUCCCUGUGGGAUCGACCCGAUAUAUACCCUAAACUACUAGUUGAUCUGUAUACUUGCAGUGAACGGGUGUAAUUCGGUAUUUUUUAGCUUGCACGUAUGUAAAAUACCCGUCAAUAGCUUAAGUGAUAUUUGUUUAACUAAGUUCAUGUCCGCAUCUCACGUGUACCUCCAAAGGAAGAGAAUUUCAAUUGCACUCUCGAAACUAGCAAUGCCCAAUUUGCACCCAACUAGACAGUUAAAUAUCUUUGUCAAUGAGAUUUAACUUUCUGCCAAAGGUGAAAUCCAUUCCGGUUCAAUAGAAAAAAGUUCUACAUUCUUUAAGGAUUUUGUGCUAAUUCCAAGGAACGGCUUGGGUAGUGGUGCGGCAGUCCAUGGCUGCCAUCUGCCCACCUGAUGGAGGGCAGCCUGCCCCUCCUACCUUUCAAUGCAAAUCCUUUUCAGAGUUGUUCACGAAGAAUUCACAGCAGCCGACGCUAUCCUUUGCGGCACAGGAGGCUACACACAAAGGGGAACCUGCGUUGAUU